UGCGCAUGAGUGGCCAAUGAACGAUACUAGCCCCCCCUCUCUAGGAUUUAGCCACGCCCUUCAUUCGUUACUGUGGGGAUUUUCAGAACAGAGGUUGUGGCAGUUUCAGCAUCAAAUACCUGUUAAAGAAGAAAAGAUAGUUGAACUGGAAACAGAAAAUGCUGUUCUGUCCCUGAGAUUGGCAGAGAUAAUGAAGUAAUGCUUUGCUCUGACCAAUGAGCCACAGGAAUGGCUCUAGAUGUGGUCAUCGUAUACUACCCUGAAAGAACCGCCAGAGUUCCAGGACGGCCACCUUUCACUUAAGCAAACUUGUCCACAGACUGUGUGGGUCCCAUCAGCUGAGAGUAGCCUUCACAUUGCAGUGAUGUGCAUAUUUCUGCUUUUCAGCCACGAUGGACUUUAGGAUCUUCCCUGAGGACCCUACACGAACCACAGGUGACCUGGAUGCAGAAGUCCUACCUGUAGCUGCCAUCCAGGGCAUAAGUCCCUCAGUGAGUGAAUUCCAGAUGGUUCUGUCUAAAGCAGCAUCGAGCAGGGUGGUGGGAUAGAAUGACAGUUGUGAGCAGUUCCCAUUGGCAUCAACUGUACCACAGACCCAGUCUCAGUGUGACACAGAAGACGACUACCUGGAAAGUUCAUCCACAGAGCACGUAAUUCUGAUUGGUGCAACAGUCUGGAAGAGUGAAAGAUAUCAUCUCCCAAGGGCAAGUGCUGUGCUAGUGGACACUGAGGAGCUGCAGGGAUCAGACCCCUCCCCAUCCUUUUCCAGCCUCUCUUGUUCUUUCUUGAGAUGUUUCCUGCAGACCUGAAAGAUCCAUGCAGUCCAUGACAUGGGUUUCAAUUUAAUCUCAGGACAUUUUAUUCAUUGCCCAAAAACUAAGACCAGAUAAAAUUUAUUCAUUCAUUCAUUCAUUCAUUCAUUCAUUCAUUUCUUAUAUAUAAGGACAGGGUAGUUGUCUUUAGAAACAACAGAGAGGUCAUCAGAUCUAAUUAGAGAUAUUUGUGAGCUGCCAUGUGGUUGCUGGGAUUUGAACUCAAGACCCCUGGAAGAGCAUUCAGUGCUCUUAACCAUUUAUCAAUCUUUCCCAUUUCCAAGGUAACUUUUUUACUUUCAACAAGGUAUUCUUUAUUCAGGUUACAUCCUGAUCCCAGCUACUCUCCCUCUUCCCUUCCCAGUCCCACCAUACAAAUCCUUUCUAACAAUACUCUCCCUUCUCUUUGGAGAUGGGGAUACUCCCUGGGUACCACACCACCCUGGGACAUCUAGUCCCAGGUGGACCGAGCACAUUCUGCCCCACAGAUUUACAAUCAGGCAGUCCAGGUAUGGGGAAGAGAUCCAAUGGCAGGCAACAAAGACUGAGACAGUCCUGGAUCUACUUGUCAGAUGACCCACAUGGAGACCAACUGCAGAUAGCUACACCAGGCUCUGGAGUUGGUUGCACAUGCUCUAGUAUACAUGGUCCAAAGUAUCUGACUGUAGGGAACUUCUUGUAGUGUUUUUGACCCCUCUAGUUUGCUCACAAUUCUCCCUCACUCUUCCACAAGACUUCCCAAGCUCCAUCUGAUGUUUGGCUGUGGGUUUCAGCUUGUGGAUGAAGCCUCUUCAGAGACAAGUAUGUUUCUUUUCUGUCCACAAGUAUAUCAGAGUAUCAUAAAUACUGUCAGAUGUUAUCUCUGUCACAUAGAUGAAUCUCACUUUGGGGCAGUCAUUGAUUGGUUGUUCCCUCAAUCUCUGCUAUAUCUUUAUCCCUGCACAUUCAUUAGCAAGAUAGAUUUUAAGUUGGUGCUGUGAGUGCAUUGAUGUCCACUUCCUCGUCUAGAAGUUCUUUCUUGCAACAAGAGGUAGCCAUUUCUGUCUCUUGCUCUGGUAGGAUUCUAACCUAGGGUCACCCCCGUAGACUCCCCCUAUGCUCUCCCUUACCAGCCAUCCAGCAAGUCACCAGAGAUCCCUGCUCCCUCCUGCCCAGAAAAUUUGUAUUCCCACUCCCAUCCCUCUCCCAAACCCCUCUCCCUUGACCUGAUCACUAUUUCCGUCUCCUUUCCUGCCUCUUCUCUUAACCUGUUCCAUCACUUCAUCCUUCUGAGGACUAUUUUCUUUUCCCUCUGAGUGAGAUUCACACCUCCUCAUUUAGGCCCUCCUUCUUUCUUCUUGUCUAUCUAUCUGUUAUCUUACACUGUAUGAUAAUGUCCACCUAUAAGUGAGUACACACCAUACGUUUUUCUGUGGUUCUGGGUUUCCUCACUCAGGAUAACAUUCUAAAGUUCAUCCAUUUGCCUAAAAAGUUCAUAAUGUAUUUAUUUUUAAUAGCUGAAGAGUAUUCCUUUGUAUAGAUAUAUACCAUAUUUUCUGUAUCCAUUUUUCAGUUGAGGGGUAUUUAGGCUUUUUUUAGUUCUUGGCUAUGACAGAUAAAACCAGUAUGAACAAAGUUCAUCAAGCAUCCUUGUGGGAUGGUGGGGCAUCUUUUGCGUAUAUGUCCAGGGGUUGUUUUGCUAAGUCCAGUGGUAAAACGAUUCCCACUUUUCUGAGAAACUGCCAAUAUGAUUUUGAAAGUGGAUAUACAAGUUUGCAAUCCAAGCAGCAAUGGAGGAGUAUUCCCUUUUUUCCACAUCCUCACCAGCAUGUGCUGGAUGUCACUUGAGAUUUUUAUUUUAGUCAUUCUGAUUCAUGUAAGUUGGAAUCACAGGGUGCUUUUGAUUUGGAUAUACCUGAUGACCAAGGAUGGUGAACAGUUCUUCAAGUGUCUCUUGGCCCUUCGAAGUUCCGCUGAUGAAUUUAGCUUUGCACCCCAUUAUUAGAUUAGGAUAUCUGGUUUCUUGUAGUUUAACUUGUUAUUUAUGUAAUUUGGAUAUUAGUCUUUUGUGAGAUAUAGGCUUGGUGAAGAUCCUUUUCCAACCUGUAGUCUGCCAUUUCUCCUAUCAAGUGUGUUCUUUUCCUUACAGAAGCUUUUCAGUUUCAAGUUUCGUUUAUUGUGGAUCUCAAUAUCUGAGCACCACUGGGGUUCUGUUCGGGAAGUUGUCUCCUGUACCAAUGUGCUCAAGCCUAUUUUCCAAUUUCUCUUGUAUCAGGUUUGACGGAUAAGGUUUUAUGUUGAGGUCUUUGAUGCAAUUGGACUUGAGUUUUGCAGAGCUUUAUACAUUAGGGUCAUUGCAUUCUUCUUUAUGCCUGUAUCCAAUUAGACCAGCACCACCUGUUGAAGAUGCUUUCUUAUUUUUGUCAUAUGAUUUUGCCUCCUUUCUUGACAAUAAGCAUCCAUAGUUGUGUGGGUUUAUUUCAGGGUCUUGGAUUUCAUUUUAUUGAUCAAUCUGUCUGUUCCUAUACCAAUACCAUAUAGUUGUAUUACUAUAGCUCUGUAGAACAGCAGUAAAUCAGAGAUGGUGAUUCCUCCUGAAAUUCUUUUAUUGUUCAGGAAAGUUUUAGCUCCCUGUGUUUGUUAAAUAUUUCACUUGAAGUUGAGAAUUGCUCUUUUAAGGUGUGUAAAGACUUGUUUUCAGCUUUGACAGGUAUUGCCUUCACAAUUUAGAUUGGUUUUAGUAAGAUGGUAGUUUUCAAAUUAUUAAUCCUACCUGUCCAUGACCUUUCUUAUGAUAUCUUCUUCAAUUGCUUUAAUCGGAGAUUAAAUUUUUUGUCAUACAGAUCUUUCCUUUUCUUAUAAUUGCACUGAGGCCUUUUUGUUAUAUUAUUUGUUGCUAUUGUAAAUAGUAGUGUUUCCCUAAUUUGUCAGUCCCUUCAUUGUUUGUUUAAAAGAGUCCUACUGAUUUUUUUUAGUUAAACUUGUAUCCAUAAACUUUGCUGAUGGUGUUUAUCAAAUGUAGGAGUUAUCUGUUCUUUUUAGCUUUGUCAGUCUUGGACCCAGAGGGCAGAAUGAAGGGCUGUAAAGAUGACAGGGUGUUUCCUCUAUCCUAUCUUCUCCUUUGUCAUUCCAAGGGCAGUAAGCCUAGAAAUUACCUUUCCAUUCUUUCUCCAAACUCCAUUUGUUUACCAGACAGUGAUAGCUGAGAAUUCCAGACCACUACUGUGUCAUAGUGGUCCCUGUCUGCAGGAUACAAGCCUCUCAGCCUAGGGCAUUCUUGUGUCAUGUGGACCCUGUCUGCAGGAGAAUGGUCUCUUAGGGCAGGUGAAAUGUUGCCUGUAUGUUCUUCAAUUUGCAUGAGGUGGCUAGAAGGAGGUUUUUAUGUAAGGCACACAACACAUCAUUCUUCAACAAUGUGAGCCUUCAGAUCUGAUGUAAAUAUUUGAGAUUGAAUAUCUAGUUCAUGAUUUAAUUUCAAAAAUUCUAAAGAAAGGUUUCAGAUUUGAUGCUAGGGAUUUUAUUUUUAUCAAUUCAAAUCAACAUUACACUAAUCGUUGGUGGACAUUAUAGGUGACAGUUCUGUUAGAGAGUUAACUAAUUCUUCAGAGGUUCCAAAGACUCUAGGACUCUCACAGCAUUACACAGCAUUCUUGCAGGUAGGAGCAAAGAUGUCUGAGAAGAGUGGGAGCUCAUAGGUGGCCGUCAAACAUAGCUAUCUGAAAAGAUGUAAAUUUAGUAAAGAGAUGUAGAUACACUGUCAGGAAAGGAAGAAGUGUGUUGCUGUACCUCCUGUGACUUAAGUGCUAGAAGAACACUUGUGUCAGUCGAGUCUGCAACUCUUUCUCAGCAUAAUAGAGUUAUUUAAUUUUAAUUCCUGAAUUUUGCACUGUCAUUCCUUAGGUGAUUUAUGGAAAAAGACCUCAGUUUGCUUAUUUUAUGUGAAAGGGGAUUUUAUGAUUUCAUCACAUUUUCUAUUUUCAGAAUCCCUAAUGUGGGUUCAGAAGAUUUUUCUGAUCCAUAGAAAUCUGUGCAUCAGUGAAAUAUGCACACUUUCAAAUAAAACAGAAGCAUUUUCAACCCAAAAAUUCUUUUUAAUACAAGCUAUACGAUCAAGUGUUGAAAUACAAGCAUAAGUAUUUUUUUUUACAUUUAUCGAGUUUCCUAUUUGAAAGUGUGUCUUUGCUUUUUCCUCUGUAAGAGAAUAGAAUGUCCCAGAGAGCUGAUGAAGGAUUUGCACACUUGUCUUGCCUAGGAAGUGCAUUCUCCUUGUUUCUGCAGCACAUGGGCAGCCUUUGGUGGCAUAACAAUACCUCCCAAAGAAGAGCAGGUACCUGCUAUCCCUAGUGCGUGGGAAGACAGAUGCACUCAAGAACCUGCAAGCAUCUGAAAAAUCUGCAUGUGUGUUUGUGAGACCUGUAGUGAAAUAGACUUGGCCAUCCCUGGGCAGUGAGGUCAGAUGUGAAUAUGUGUUGUAAGAGCACAUUGAAUAGCAUACAUUACUGUGGGGAAAUGUCUCCUUUCACUGCCCCAUGCUAAUGCCUGGACUCCCCAAACAUAUUCACUGAUAAGCCCAUUGCCUUAAAGGUCUUCUGGUCGUUCAUGUUUGAAAUGUAAGUGGCCACUCAGUACUGAUGGAAUGAAGGUAUGCUUUAUUAUCAUGGCACAAGGUACACUGAUCAGUUCCAGCAGGCUGAAGGGUCAGUGAGAUGUUGUGUCCCCUCACUCUCAUGCAUACUUUGCUUGAGCAGGGCAGCAGGACAGCAUCCAAAUCUCAGGGGAUGGGUGAAAUACAAGGAGGGAGUGAGGCGGUUGUUACUCAAAGGAUGUAAAGUUCAGAUGAACAGGGAAUGACUGUGACUACUGUUAUAUGGUAAACUGUGACACUCCGCAGUGUCCUGUAAAAAAUGCAAAGGAACUUUAAGAAAGGGAAGGCAUGUUUGAGGGUUUAAGGAAUUUGGGGGGAACAUUUUUGGAAGAGCAGAAUUUAUAUAUUAGAAUUAGAGUUUGUAUUUCGAUAUUUUAAUUUACAGGUUUUUUAAAUCUGUGGAGAUAUCCAUUAGAAACUAGAUUUGGUACUCAUCGAGGACCAUGUCUUCUUAUGCACCCUGUCCUGUGUGGGAUUUGUGGCUCUGACCUACUGUUUUCCCUGGUCUCUGUACCACUUCAUUUUCUGCCAAAUCCUACAUGAGUCUUCCUCUGUCCAUUCCCAGGUAAUAAAGUGUUUUCAGAAACACAUAUACUCAUGAAUUUAUGAUACAAUUAAAGCAGAAUAGGUUGGUUGAUUGACUUGGCAGAAGAAAUGUUCAUCUCCUAAAGUGCCGGGUGAUUAUGUUUAUUUACAAAAUUUUUCAACUUAUUCACUCAAGGCAUUGGGAGGUAAGUGCCAGUCUUGAGGUUGCUUAAUCAUUUUUAGCAGUAUACAGAUAGUACUGCCAUCUGCUCACCCUGUGAUCCCAGGCAGUCACAUACAUGACAGGUUAGGGGAUCAGACGAGAAACCAUAUGUGUGUGUAACUGUUAACACUGUGAGAAAUGAACACAGAACCUGUGCAGGUUGAUUGAAGGACCCUAUAAGACAUUAUCUGUUAGGUAGGCUCUCUUGAGAUAGUAGAGGGCAUGGGGAAGAGUCUCCUCCAUCGGAAGGCUCAGGAGGCAGGAUCGCAAGUUGGCUGGGAAAGUUAGGUCUCCAGGUGAUACGAGUAUUCAAUGCCACAGUAAAUUGAUUUGUACUCUACAAGCACUGUGGGGACUCUGUUUUUCUUGAGAAGGCAGAAGCAAAGUCCCAUAUUCAAUGAGCAGGUAAUCUACCCAGGAAAACUUCUGUGGGUAGGCAUACAGCUUUUGCUUAUGAGUGGCCAAUGAACAAUACCCACUGCCCCUCCCCCUACAGACUUAGCUAUGCCCUGAGGGGAUUUCCAGAACAGAGUUAGUGGCAGUUUCAGCAUCAAAUGCCAGUGAGUAUGAAGGGAGCCCAGGGAGUUUGAAACCAUCUCUCCAUGCUCUAAGGGACGUGGAAAAAAUAAGAGAACUGGGGUUGUCAUCGUAGCACUGUUUUCUGAGUCUUGAGUUCCCUUGGGAUGGAGAUCAAAUUUUCAGAAUCUUAGGGAAGUUGACCUGUUUGCUCCCAACUGUCUUUAUGGCUCCUUCCUCAAACUCCCACUUGGGUCCUCUCUGACCUUGCAUUUGCAGCAUCAGCACAUCUAGGUCCCCUGACUUGGCACCUCCCUCAGCUAUGCUGAACAUUCACAGACUCCAUACUGAGCAGGAUUUGGGAGUACAGCUACUAAUACCAAAAAUUAUGUAACCCUACUCUUUGCCCUCGUAGAGCACACAGCAGAAUAAAUAAAUGGAUAAAGUGAACAAAAAUAUAAACACCAUGUGUGGUAAUGGCUGCCAAGUAGAGAGUCUGGACCUUACCUGAUAUGAAAUCAGCCCCACCUAAGGCUUAUGGACAGGAUACUGGGAAGGGGAAAAACAUUUGAAAUGUAAGUAAAGAAAUAUAUCUAAUAAAAAAUUAAAAAACCAACCAACCAUACAAACAAACAAACAAACAAACAAAAAAGACUAUACUGUGACCUUACCCAGAGAGAAGAUGAUCUGAUCUGCCUCUUAAAAGUGAGAUUUUAGCAGGUAGUGCUUGCUGACCAGAGAAGUCAGAUGCUUACUGAGCAGCCCCUUAGAAGUCAAGGCUUGACUUCCAACUAGCAGACAAGGAAGUCUGUGGGCAUGCUCCAAGGAAACUGGUGAGAGCCGCAGGCAGCAUUUUGGAUCUUUGCAAAUUUGCCUAAGUGUACAUUGAAGGAAGAAAUCUCUGUUCCAGCAACAAGUGCUCAGGUCCUUAAGGAGAGCACAACCCUGCCUGCUUCAAGCUCCAGAAGCUACCCAGAAGCUUCAUCCUGGGACUGUACCUUAGCACUAACUCAGGACCACUUUACCUCACCUUGAGAGACUAAUCUUAGGAUUUCCAUCCAUCCCAAGAUACAGCUGGGCUUGUAGCAUCAAUUUCAGACUCCAGGGCACACCAAGAAUGCACACUGUAAUAAUCUUUGUGGGCUGUCUCCACAUUUGAGCAGAGGUUUCUGUGGGCUUGAGAUUGGAAGUCUUGGGUCCAAGAGUUGGCUCCAGUUCUCCUCAGUUUGUAGGUAGCAGAUUCCUCUUGAUGUCCUGUGUUCUCUCUCUGUACCCUUCUAAUGUCUGUGGCUCUAGGGUUCCCUUCAUAAGGACCCCAAAGACAUUACAACAGAGCCCACUUUUCAGGCUUCCUUGAAUCGAUGACCUUGAAGGCACUGUCUUUAAGUGUCACCUGCUUAGUGUCAGGGACUUCAUCCUUCACCAUAUGAAUUGGGGUGUAUCUUGUCCAACCUAAAGCACUCAAGAGAGACUCAUAGGGUCAGGGCAAACCUGACAGAAAUUUCUCACAGAGCCCCAUUCUAAUUGGACCAGACUUUGUAAAUGUUUGUGUCCCAGGUCUUUCUGGUACUGCUGUCCAAAAUUGUUCUCAUGGUAUAAAUCCGUCAUUUAUGGAGGGAAACUGAACAAAAGGAAAGUAAGGAAGAAAAAGGCAGUCGACUUGUAGAUGGAAUCCAAUAAAUAGAAGAGACCCUAAGGAAUCUGCUAAAAUUUAGCACUGAAUAGUGAGUUAUACAAGACCAAUGAAUAUAAGAUCUGUUAGCAGAAAUGAAGCAGUUCUGUAGCCUAUCAGUAAACAGCACAAAAUUAAGGUAAAAUUUCUAUGUCAUACAGCAUGUUUAAAAAAAUCAAAAGUAUUUUCAAAUUACUUUGACCAAACACAUACUAAACUUUUAACUAUAGCUUCUAUUAUUUUUGAAAUCUAGAAAAUAAUAAACUUCAUCAACAUAUUACAGAGAUUUUCAUAAUCAAGUGAACACAUUUAGAAAUUGACAGUGUAUAACUCAGAGGUUUUCAAACUCACACCAUGGGCUCUCUUUACCAAUCAGAGUUUAGAAGUGCAGAUAAUGCUGUCUCCAUGUAGUCACACAUACUCUGUGGGAAGAUUUAGAGAGUUAAUUCCCUAACAGCAGGGUCCGCAUCCCAAUGUGGAGACAGAAUUCCCUUCAAGAGGGUCUAAAUCACCUGCAGGUAUGAGUAGCCCCCUCAAAGGAAGGACUGAAUCUCCUGCAGGCGAGAAUGACAAAAAUGAGAGGAUCCAUAGGAGGAGGGACUUAAUUUCUUCUCUGAUGAGACUGGAGCACCAGCAGGAAUUUGACUCUGUAGUCUGAGAGAUUAUUUUCAUCAUGAUGUUCUGAGUUCCCUGAAUCCACAGCUGGAACACUGAGCCACCACCAGGAACACUGCACCUGGACCAGUUGUCUUAAGGGCAUUAAAUACGAAUUUCACUUCUUUGGCUAUUAAAAUCCUACCAUGCUCUAGCUUCCUUCCAACAUCCACCCUUCAUUCCCCACCAUCUCAGCUUCUCAAUGAAUCCUUCCUCUCCUUGAUUUUCCAAGCCUACCUACGUCUUAUGAGCACCUACACACACACACACACACACACACACACACACACACACACACACACACACACACACACACACCUGGCUUUGAAGGGAUCCGAUUUUGAUUUUUAAGGCUGAACUGUUUCUAUGGCUUUCUCUGUAAACUCUGCUUCCCAGCUACUUUCCAUGGCACCUUCCUGACCAAAAGAUAAAAGAGUCUCGAGUGUACAGCUUGCAUCCCUGGUAGUCCUCAGGUCUGGAGCUGAUGGGCUCAGAGCCAUGGGGUGUGUGUGUGUAGCCGGCCAGGCCUUGCUGAGGCUGACUUGUCUUGCCUCUGCAGUAUGUGAAGGACUCUUCACAACCUGACAGUUGACUUUCUCCUUGCUGAGACUGUUUCUACCAUUUCUUGCACUCUGUUCAAUCAUGGUAUUUCAUGUGGGCAUGUACAUGCUGUGUUGGUCCAUUUUUCUUUUGGAUCCUGGGUUGCAGGUUAAAGAAAAAAAAGGUAGUUGAACUGGAAACAGAAAAUGCUAUUCUGACCCUGAGAUCCGCAUAGGUAAUCUCUGUCCUGUAGACUGAUUGACUGAUGAGACACAUGUGAGUGUUAGCUUUGCGGAGACUACUGUAGUUGUAAAAGAUGGAAAGGACUGCGGCUUUCCUUUGACGGCUGGUCCCCUCCAGUGAGAUUGCCACUUAGUGUGUCAUCCAGUAGUGGAACAGAGAUUAAUCCUAAAUCUUUCUUCCUCGAGCUCAGAAGUAUUUAAGGAAUAAUGCUUUAAUGAUACAUCCAACAGCUGGUCCUGGACAGCUGUGUUGUACUGUUUAUGCACCAUGAUUCACCCACAUUAAUUUUAAUUGAUGUAUAGAUAUAGUAGUCACCUCCAACCCCCAAAUACUUGGUCUCAAUAAGUGCAAACCCAGGUCAUCAGAUAUGGUUUCUCAGACACCCCACAGCACGCUGCACUCCGAGUGGGAUGCUGCACAGUUCAGAUGCAGACAUUUCCAGUGUGGCUGGGUGUUCAGUGUGCCCUUCAUCUCCUCACAGGCUCUUCUGACACAACCUCCACUGAAACUCCAGUUGUUUCCUUUCCUUGGACUUUUGUUUUGAAGUAUAGUGCUCUUUUUUCAGGUCCUGAUUCUAGAAGGCAUUGAAUCCCCUGCAGACACACAGUCUGUCUUGUCUUAAACUGGUACGUGUGUGUGUGUGUGUGUGUGUGUGUGUGUGUGUGUGUGUGUGUGUGAGUGUGUGUGUGUGUGUGUGUGUAUGUGUGUGGAGUUGUAGUAGUAGUAGUAGUAGUAGUAGUAGUAGUAGUAGUAGUAGUAGUAAAUGAAGUUCCACAGACCAAGACAACAACUCAGGAUACAGAACCCCCUGCAAGAGAUCCUCAGCUGAAAACAUGGAAUUCAGGAGGGACUGAAGACAGCUGACGUGCAACAUGAUGCUAAUCUUACUAAGAUCGUCAACUUUUCACCCAAUACCUGUGAAGCUAGAGUAGCUCAGAACACACUGAGAAGUGUAGAGAGAAAGAAUUCCAUGCCUAUUUUCCUCUGCCUAUGAGAAAUAGGUUUCAGGACCGUAAAUAGUUUUUGAGGGUAAGUUUCUCUUUUAUAAACACCAGUCUUUUUCUCUUAUAUACUACUUUAAAAUUAUUUAUUUUUAUUUCACUUGCUUUUGUGUUUUACCUGGAUGUGCAUCUGUGUGUGGCUGUCAGAUAUCCUAGGAAGUUUGUUGUGUAUGGGCAAUUCCAUGUAAAACAGAACAAAGAGGAAAUGCAACAUCAACAGUAGCAAUCAGGUCUCUCUCCUUAGGCCCCUGUGGAUGUAGCUGCCCUUGGGACUGACAGAGUCUUCUUUGUUAAUGCAUGCCAUACACUGAGCUACAGCUGUGAUGGCUCCUAUCCUAUGGCUACCACAGCACCUGAAUCUUGCCCUAUCUCCAGGAUACCUGCAUCCAGCCUUGUCUCCAGGCAAACAUGCUGAGGAAGAAACAUUAGCCACAUGUAAACAAUGUGGGAUUUGUAAGUACACAAAGAAUAUAUUUUCCCUAUCAAAUAUGCAUUAUAAAAGGAGGAUAGCAUGAAGGAGAGAGAUGCUAUAGACUAGGACUCCAGUUACACAGUGGUUUCCAUAUGGAUUUGUCAGACAUGACUAGGAAGGGUGUUGGGAAUCUGUGCAGACUUAGACAAACACAAAUGCUUUUCUGUAAUGGGAUCCAAGAGGAAAACAGGAUCAGAUGAAAGAUCCUUACCCAAGGAUGACCUCUCUUCAGUGAGAAGGCCAGAGUUAUGUGUGGCUUCCAUUUCAAGAUCUCGGGUGGAAUGUGUGAGUCAGGUGUCCUUGUGCCUGCUGUUCUCCAGUGCUUUUAACAAGAAGGCUUCCUCCUUCAAAAUGGCAAGCUUGAGUGUGGCAAGGUCUCUCCCUUCUGUGGUUGGAUUAUGGUUGUCCAACAAGGGUGUACAUGAGUAUAUGUGCACUGUGUGUAUUAUGUAGUGCCCAUAAAACCCGAAGAGGGUAAGAUAUUCUAGAUCUUGAGUUGCACAUGACUGUGAGCUGACUUGGAAGUGUUGAAAAUAAGUGAAGGUCCUCUGCAAAGGCAGCCAGUGCUCUCAAACCCUGAGCGAUCUCUCUAGUUCCUGCUCUGAAGGUUUUCUGAUGUCCUGUUGAUUACUGUCUGCUCCACCAGCCUGUUCCACAGGAAUCAGUCUUAUGAUUGUGUAGCAUCACAACACCAAAAAUAGUUUAAUCUCUGACUGGAUGCCUUUAAUGAUUUUACAAAUGAUAAAAAUUGACUAUAUUUGUUUUUGAAUAUUAACAGUGCCUCUGGAACUAAACUCAGAUCAUCAGCUAUUCCUUUCACCUCUGAACAAUCUCAAAAGCUCACACUGUAUAUUCUGUUCUGUCCUCAGUAUACCAUGUAUUUCUGUAAUCACCAGCAUUGUUAAAGCAAGCCAAAUGAGAUUUCUAAAAUCUUCAGAUUUUGAAAUUUACAUUCACACAUAGCUUGUGCUACACAUCAUUAAUCCCCCCUUUCAGGAGAGAGCAGGUCUCGUUACUUCAAAACCACCCUUGUGUACAGGGUGAGUUUUAGGACACCUUCAGUUUGUGGUGACACUCUGUCUCAAAUUAACCACACAACAACAACAACCCAACCACACUCACACAGAAACACAUGCAUGGAACACACACACACACACACACACACACACACACACACACACACACACACAGAGCACUGUCCAAUUGCUACCGUUCUCAUUCCUAAAGUGAACUUUCAGUGUAACUGUACUUUAACCUCAACUUCCUCAGUCCUUCCAGUCUGCAGGCUUCUCUUAAACCCUGAGGAAUUGGCAACUGACAUCAGACCGGUUUCUACUUCCUGGUGGGGUAAUUGGUUUGUGUUGUUUUGUUAUUUUGUACUCCCUUAGCAGACCUCCCUAGGCUCUGAGAAGAUUCCAUUCACUUCCUUCAGAGGACUUUAGUGUUUUUAAGUCAUACUCAACAAAGUAAGAAACCAUUUGUUCUGACUGCAGCAUUUAGGAUCAUGUUGAAUAGGUACCAGCAGAAUGUACGCUGUUUAAGAAGUAGGUCUGUGGGUUAGGACUAGGUGUAAUUUCAUCUGCUGAGUGAAUGAGUGUUUGCUUCAUGUCCUUGCCCCUUUUGCCUUCUGUGGUAUUUUUAUUCCUGAAGACUAAAGGGUUUGAGUUUGGGUUGGAUCCUUCUGUGAUUUCAGUGUCCAAUACCUCUAGACCUAUACUGUAAGUGUGACCAGAUUAACAGGGCUGUUGAUUUUCCAUGGAGAUGCUUGUUUAAAUUUUUACUUAAUCCACAUCUUAUGUGAAAGAGGAGGGAGAGCAGCUUGCUGGCUCUGCAGCAACACACAAAGACCCAGAGUGAAGGUUCUCUCUGUUACUGAUUCGAAUUCCUGAAUCACCAUGACAUUUUGCAUGAGCUAUCCUCCACUGUCUCGGGCAUUUGAGUACUCCUUUCCCAGUUGGUGACUCUGUUUGGGAAGAUUCAGGAGGUGUGCCCUUGCUGGAGAAAGAAUGUCAGCGGGGCUGGGCUUUGAGGUUUUAGUGCUUUUGCACCACUCCCAAUGCACCAUCUGCUUUGUACUUGUGAUUCUAGAUGUCAUACCUCAGCCUCCUCCUCCUUCCACCAUGCCCUGUAGUCAUGGAACUUAACCUCUGCUAACACACGUUCUCUGAAAUAGAAUCACUAAUGUCCUACUUGUUUUAUAGUUUGCUGUGCUCAUGGCAUUUCUGUCACAGAAAUGCAAAUGUAACUAAUGCAGAAGGUGACUUAAUGGAGUGGACUCUUGCUGUGUGACACCUGACGAUGCCAGGUUGUACUUGUUUCUUGUUUUGGGAAAUGUGUAAGAAUUCCAGUGCUCUAAGAUGAGUUUAAUGGGCUACACUGGCAAGAACUUGGGAGUCAGGAGUGCCAAGAGCUAUUCAGACUGUGGAAGCCCAGGAGAAGGGGAUUCAGAAGGAAAAAAAAUGUUUGUAACUGGUCUAGGAUAAUUCCUAUGAGGCUUUUACAAAAAUGUGGCUUCCUUUCUGCCCACAUCCUAAAAACUUACUUGAGGCUAAAUUCAAAAGUAAUAAACAAAUUUCUUUGAUGAAAAUUUGAAGAGAGCCCAGUAUGGCCUCUGUCAUACUGUGCUUAUACUCUUCAAUGAAAAAUAGCAAAUGGGGCAAAAAGAAAUACAAAAUGUACAGUUUACAGAGAAAAAGACACUGGGAAGACUAAUAUUAUAGCCAAUGCCUAUACCAGAAGAGAGCCUGAAAUUGCUUGGAGAUUAGCAUCUUAAUAAGAGGCCAUGUCUCCUCAGGUGAAGACAUCACUCAACUAACUUAGUAAUCUGUGGUAGAAAAUGACUUACUUAGAGUUUACCUGCUAUUAACAGACACCAUGACCAAAGCAACUCUUAUAAGAAGAACAUUUAUUUGGGUUUGGCUUACAAGUUCAGAAGUUUGGCUCAUUAUCAUCAAGGUAGGGGCAUGGCAGCAUCUAGGCAGACAUGUUGCAGGAGGAGCUGGGAGUUCUACAUCUUCAACUGAAGGCUGCUACUAGAAAACUGAUUUUCAUGCAGCUAGGACAAGGAACAUAAGGGUCACAUCUACAGUGACACACUUCCUCAAUCAAGGCUACACCUAUCCAAUGAGGGCUCAUCUGCAAAUAGUCCCACUCCCUGGGCUCAGCAUAUUCAAAUCAACACAUGAACAUUAGGUAUUUUUAGUUCCUGAUAUAACUUUUGAUCACAAACUGCUGCUGCUAUGGUUCAUGGGGUCCAGGUCUUCUAGAAAUCAAGCAUCUUCUCAUGUACUCUCAUCAGUCACUGGAAGUAAGGAAGCUCAAGAAAGGACUGCUGUGUGGUCUGAGACAGCUGAGAAAGUCUGCUUGAGAAGGUGUGUCAAUUUUCUUCUCUACAUGGAGAUAGUAUGGAGGUUACCUGACCUUAUCUGGCCAGUUUUCAUGUUUGGAACCCCUGGACCCUAUUCAUUGUCAGGUAGGAAAGUGUCAUUUGGCACUCAAUGACAACUUGUGCCUAUCGUGUACCCAAUGUUGAUAGAUGACUUAAGAAUGUAGGUUUGAAAGGUGUCCAGUUCUAUCUGGGAAGGAGAACAGCAGGCCUGAGAGGAACAGGCUUCAUGUGCAGAGGGAGGUAUCAUCUGUACGUGGGUGGGAGAAGUUCAGAGACGGUUAGUCAAACCUGUGUAUCCAGGAGAGCUCAGUUAACUGUGGAAACAAUAAGAGUAAAGGUAACUUUGAACUUGGAGGAAGAGAAGAUUUGUUGCAACUGUUUGUGGACUGUGCUUCAGAGAUGAUGAGACAUAGAGAAGCUCUGUCUUGGGUUCAUGGCACUAAGCAUGCUAGCUGAGUACUUCACAUCUUAAGUUGUGUAUGAUUUUAGGGGUCUUACACAGAGGUUAUCACCUUAUCUACCAAGAGCAUCUUGCUUUACUUCUAGCAGUCACAUGAAUUUAAAUUUCCUACUUGUUUGUGUUCUUAAAAACUCACUGAUUAGUUUUAGCUGAGCGUCCUGGGAGACUUUGCUCUUAAGUGCUGUAAGUUUUACAUAUUUGGUGAUUAACAUAAAUAACUAUACAUAGGUCAAUACAGGGCCCACACUGACAUCACCUUGCUAUCUGGAGCUGUUAGCUCCUAGGCCAAGGUUCUCAAAUGUCUCUGCCUCAGAAAGAAAUGUGGUAGUUUGAUUUCAUAAUCUACUCACAUUCCUUUUGUCACCCAGGAUAUCUGCUAGAAUGAGAGGAUUCUGUCCCAUGCAGGACAAUCUAGAUACUGCUCCCCCAGCAGGAAUGAAAGGGCCAAUUCCUGUCUCUGAGGGGCAGUCCCUGGUGUUCACUGUAAUGUCACCCAACAAUCCCACCUUGAAUCUGCUGUUCCACUUGAGCCUGGAGCCUCCCUUUUAUUCUGGGAGAUAAACAGGUAUCUCCAGCUAGGAAGAGUGGUCCAAACAUGAGAUUUCGUGAGGGCAGUGAGAAUGGUGUAUACACAUUGAGGGUUUCAGAUUGAAUGAUACUGAACUUAAUGUACUUCCUAUUAGAGUCAUCUGUGAGUGACAUGUGAGCUUUGUAUUAAAAUUUACUUUUACGUCCAAGAUUUCAUGGUAUGUCAAUGCCCUACUUGCUUUUGAAGAUGUCCAAGGAACUGGAUAUAAAAGAGAAAUUACAAAUCAGAAAAUGUUCCUAGGUGUACAGCACUUGUUUAGAUGUGCAAGUCCCAGUGCUCAACUCCAAGAGCACACAUUAUGCCUUAGAAAUAGAUGAUAAGUGCUCGCUCUCUCUCUCUCUCUCUCUCUCUCUCUCUCUCUCUCUCUCUCUCUCUCUCUCUCAUGAGUGUGUGUGUGUGUGUGUGUGUGUGUGUGUGUGUGUGUGUGUGUGUGUGCUUGUAUAUGUAUGUGAGAACCUGAAGGUGAGCCCAGGGUCUGCGUGGUCCAGUUGGUACAAGGAUCCCACAUUGUUUGACUCUCAUGUAGACAAGUAUAAUGUUGUUGGGGUGACCAGCAUAUAAACAUUGGGACCAGAGAGAACUAUUUACAAAGCCAACAGUUUUGACUGAUUUAUGUGAAUUAGGGCAGAUUUGAGAGCACACUUAAGAGAUUUAAACUGUGUUUGAGAAAAUUUUAUAUAUAAAUAUAUAUAUAUAUAUAUAUAUAUGUAUACACACACACACACACACAUCAUAUCCCUGUACACCCCUUGGUUGGUGGUCUAUUUACUGGAAGCACUGUGUGGUCCAGCCAGCAUAUGUUGUUCUUCCUAUAUCGCAAGACCUCCUCAGUCACAGGACAUCCAUUGUUUAAGCACCACCACUACCUCAGGAAGUCCAUUGUCUGUGUGUCAACUCCACUGUUACAGGACUUCAAGUGUCUCAGUAUCUCAACUAUCACAGGACUUCUACUGUGCCGGAGCUCAAGUGUCUUACAACGUCCAAUGUCAUAAGAUCAUCAGUGUCACAAGAACUCCAUUGUCUGAGGAACUGCACAGUCCAAACAACACUAUGAUUGCAGGACAUCCACUGUGGAAACACCUCUACUAUAGUAGGGCCUCCACUAUCCAUAUAUCAACUCGACUGUCACAGAUCACCCAUUGCUGCAGGACCUCCACUGUCACAGGACCUCCACUGUAGGAGCACUACAACUGUCGCAGGAUCUCCAGUGUCUUAUAACCUGCUCUAUCCCAGGACUUCCACUGUUGUAGCACCACCAUGGUCACAGCAACUACACUGUUUCAGGACAUCAACUGAAGCAGGACCUCCAAUGAUGCUCCAACUUCUCUGUCACGUGAUCUCUACAGUUACAGGAAUACUCCUGUAUCAUCAAUUCCAAUAGCUAGACCUCAGUUGUCACAGGACCUCCACUGUAGCCGAACCUUCAAUUUUGCAGCACCUCCACUGUAGGUAGAAUGACCUCCCCUAUCGCAGUGCCUCCACUUUCAAAGGACCUUCACUGUCACAGAACCUGCACAAUUUCAGUGCCUCUGCUGUUGCAGGACCUACCUCUUCACAGGAUCUGCACUGUUGCAGCAACUCUAAUUGCACUUUUACAAAGGCAUUACUGGUUAUUAGAUUUGAGGCUGAAUGGAAUGUGAUGUUACUUUCGCAAACAUAAGAAUUUGUUCUGUGCCUCUUGUGAUUAAUGCCACAUGUGCUAGGACCAGUAACUUAUGGAAAGAUUCCAUGAGGUCAUAGCACUCUCCACCUCACCUUGUGGAAACUGGUGUUUUCAGAGGAUGAUAAACUUCAGGUGAAGUGAUGCAGUCAGCAAGACCACGCUCUAGAGUGGGGUACACAGCGGUCAUAUUGAGUCCCUGCUGGGAAGAAAUCCAGAAGAGGGAGAAGGCUUGGGUUAGAGGAAGAAUCGUAAAAUAUUUAGAGAAUAUAAGAAGGUAAGAAUUAUGGGGAACUGGAAAACAGAGACAGAGGAAGAAUGAGCACAGAGCAAACUGGGAUGGACAAAGCACAAAUGUACCUGGGUUGUGCCUUCUGCAUGUUCUCUGGACGAUCGCCUUGUGCCUCAUUUCUGGGAGAACACUCUCUUCUCCCCAUAUAAAGUUUGUUUCUUGAAAGAAAGCAGCAACACAACUUCAUCAGUGAAUUCCCUAUUGAAAUUUGUUCGUUCCUUCAAAGCCUCUGGGAAGGCCCUAGCUGGGGAAAGUCCUCUCUGCUGAGAAACAGCAGGAAAGUAGGUUGUCCUCUGUGUUCUCAUUGCGACUGCUCUUCUAAGUGUGGUUGAUUGUUGAUUGAAGACACAGGGCACUUCCAGCAUGUAUGUAUGCUUUAUUCAGUGUGGGUGGCAUUGGCUGUAUCCUGAAAAGAAGGGCAGACCCUUCUGCCUCCUCUUUGACUAGGCUUAAGAUCAUAGUCAGACACUUAACCAUUGGAAGAUGAGACCAAUGUGUCUACAGUGUACUCACUUCUAUUCCUCUUUAGUCCUAGAGGGAAAUCAGUGCCAUCAGCAAGGGUGGGGAAUGGGGCCCUAACUGGACAAACUUGCUGAGCCUGGGUUAUGCAGCCAUGCCGGUGAAUAGCUUCCCCUUACAUUAAGUAAUAAGAUGCCAUGCUCUGGUUGUACCUUCCCUGAUACAGUGAAUCUAUAAUCUCUUGGCCUCAAAACCCAAUAUAUUACAUUGCUUUCACAAGUGGAGUGUCUGGCAUGAGAGGGAUCAUUUCCUCAUAGGGAUUUGGGAACCACUUACAGUCUUCAUUGAGCAUGGGUGUGUCAUCACCUAUGUGACUGUUAGCCCAUAUCUGUGAUUCACUGUCAUUAGGAGGCUAAGCUGCCUCUUCUGACACCCCACAGUGGGCCGGAUACACACCACUCACAACCUGUCUCCUCAGCUCUUGUAUGACAAAAUGUAACCCUACUCCUAAGUCCAUAUGUUGGGUUUAUUUUGUUUUUGGAACAUCCUAACGUUUUCCUAGGAAGAGAUCAGGUGCACCAUUAGGAUAAGCACCAUGCUGCCAGUUCAGCAUUUGCCCAAGUUUGACUUGCCUUGAAGGCCAAAGUUGAUGAUUUUGACUUUUCCAUUCUUCUCUAACAGAAUAUAAUCUGGUUUCAGGUCACUGUGUACUUUUACAGUGCCCAUAGCCGUAGAUUAAGCCUGCUAAUAUUUACCCAAAUAUUUCCUUGACCCUGUACUCCUCUAAGGGGAAAGACUUUCAAAUGUAUUUGUAAAGCUGUAAAAUUUCAACCAGUUUCAUGAUAAGUUAUUAGACUUGUCUCAGACUCAAUUGGAGAAGCAAGAUGAUGUUGGGGUGGAUGAAAAUCUUCAUUAUAUUUCCCAUGGUCAUGUUUGGCUGGCACCAUUGCUUCUUCUUUGCAUGCACUUUGAUAACCCCUGUAGCAGAACUUCCACUGUCCCAACACCUGCACUAUCCCAAGACCUCCACAGUCAAAGGACCAAUAUUGUGGUAGGGUGUCUGUGGUCAGGCAACUUCACUGUCUCAGACCCUCCAAAUUGCAAGACCUUUACGGGCACUGGACGUUACUGUCCCUAAACUUCCACUGUUGGAGUACCUCAACUGUAACAAGGACCUCUAUCAUUGCAGAACCCCCUUGUCAUAGCACCUCUACAAUUAAAAGAAGUCCACUGUCAAAUGACCUCCAGGGUCUCAGCCCCUCCACUGUUGCAGGAUCUCUACUGUCUCAGGAUCACUACUGUUGCAGGACCUCCCCUCUCUCAGCAGCUCCAAUUUGCAGGUGCUCUCCUAUCAGAGGACAUUUACAUUUUCUGUACUUCCAGUGUCACAGCACCUCAACUGUUAAAAGAAUUUCCAUACUCACAGGACCGCCAAUGUCUCAGUAACUCCACUGUCCUAGGACCUUUAUGUUAUAGGACCUCUGCUGACACAAGAUGUCCACUGUUGCUAGACUUCCACUGUCAUAACCACUCAACCAUUACAAGGACCGCAAUUUUGGCAUGACCUCCACUGUCCCAUCCCCUCCAGUGUCAUAGGACCUCCACUCUCACAGGAUAAUGCACUGUCUCAGCAAGGCCAAUUUUCAGGACCUCUACUAGGACAGGAUAUCCAUGGUAGCUGGACGUACAAUGUUGAAGUACCUCAACUGUUGCAGGACCCACAGCGUUGCAGGACAUGGACCCUCUCAGCUUCUAGAAUUUGCAGGACCUCUACUGGCACAGAAAUCCCACUGUUGCUGGAGAUCCACUGUCAUUGAAAAUGCAUUGUCUCAUGAUAUUCACUGUUGCUGGACCAAUAGUGUGGCAGCACCUCCAUUUUAUCCAAACCCCUCCACUGAUGCAGGAUCUCCACUUUUGUCGUACCUUCACUGUCCAAGCAAACCAACUAUUUCAGGAUCUCCAGUGUCUCAGGGCAUUCACUAAUGCCCGUCCUCCAACGUUGUAGGAUAUCCACUUUCUCAACAGCUACACUUUGGCAGGACCUCUAUUGGCAGAGAAAGUCCACUGUUGCUGGACCUCCACUGUCAGUGCAAAUGCACUCAUUCAGGACCUCUACUUUUCUAAGGACCUCUAAUAUUGCAGGACCUCUAAUGUCCCAGGACCUCAAGUGAUGCAGCACCUCCUUUGUCCCAUCACCUUUACUGUCCCAGAACCUCCACUUUCCCAAGACCUAUUCUGUUGCAGGGCCUCCAAAGUUGGAAGAACUGCACUGUAUCAAGACCUCAACUAUUGCAGGACCUCCAUCAUUUUAGGAACACAAAAGUUACACUGUCCAUCACCUUCAUUCUCCUAGCACCUCCACUCUCACAGGACCUACACUGUUGGCAGGAACUCCAAUGUCUAUGCAACUGCACUGUCUCAGGACCUCAAUGUUCCAGAACCUCCAAUGGUGCAGGACCUCCACUGUCAUGGACCUCCACUGUCUCAGGACAUCCACUCUAUCACCACCUAGACUUUUGCAGGACCUCUACUGGCCCAGGAUCUCCAUUGUUGCUGGUCUUACAUUGUCUAAAGACCUCUACUAUCACAGAAAUGCCACUGUUGUAGAACCUUCACUGUCACAGGGCCUCCACUGUCCAAGACCUCCACUGUUGCAGAACAUCCACUCUUGCAGCAUGUGCAUUGUCUCCUGACCUCCACUACAGCAGUCAAAUCUCCACUGUAUCGUGACUUCCACUCGUGCAGGUCUUCCAAUGUUGCAUGACCUCCAAUGUGAAAGUAACUCCACUAUCUCAGUGCCUCCACUGUUACAGGACCUACACUGUCAGAGGAUCUGCACUGCUGCACCAGCUCCACUGUCACAUUUUUGAAAGCAUUGCUUGUUGUUAGUGUUGAGGCUUCAUGAAAUGUGAUGCUACCUCUGAAAAGUUAAGAAUUUCUUCUUCAGCUCUUGUGAUUAAUGUCCAGAUGUGCUAGAUCAGUAGCGCCUAGAAAACUCAAUGAGCCGAUAGCCUUCGAAGCCUCACUUUGUGGGUUCUGUUGUCUUUUGGGAGUGCUAAAGUCCAGGUGAAGGCAUGCGGUCAGAAGGAUAACUCUAGUGUGGGGUACACAUCAGUUGUGUUGAGUUCCUGCUGGGAAGGGUAGAAAUCCAGAACUGAAAGAAGGCUUAGGGUGGAGUAAGAAUCAUACAAUGCUAGAAUAGGUGAAACAGAAACAAUUUUGCAGAAAUGGAAACCAGAGACACAGGAGGAACCAGCACAGAACAAACUGGGUAGGACAAAGCACAAAGGUACCUGCGCUGAGCCUGCCUGCUGCUUGUUCUUUGGAUGUACUCUAGCCUUUAUUUCUCAGGAGAGACACUGUGCUGUCCCAGGAGAGUUUUCUUGCUUGAUUGAGCACAGGAAUACUGCUUGAUUUGGAUAUUCCUAAUUUCUUGGUCCACCCUGUAAAUCAUCUGAGCAUGCUCCUGCUUGGGACAGUCUUGCCCUCUCCUGAGGCCCAGAGGGAUAAUAGGAUGUCUUCUGUGGUUUCAUUGCUGCUUUCGUUCUCCCUGAGGCUGCUUGUUGACUGAAGGCAGAAGACACCCUGCCAUGUAUGUUUUGUCCAGUGUGCUGUCACCUGGAGUGGCCUGAAGAAAAGGCCAGUCCCAGUGGUUCUUCUGAAUCUUCUAUGACUAGAGUUAUGGACAUAGGCAUAAACGAGGCCAUGGGGAAUGACAAGUUCAAUGUGCCAAUGGUGGUUUGGUUUCCACUCCUCUGAAGUCCUAGAGGGAAAGCAGCAUAAUCUUUAAGGGUAGGGAAUGGAGCCCUAACUGGACUCAAUGAGGGAGCCUGGUUGUGAAGACAGCACCUGGAUAGCCUGCCCUUUCAGUAAGCCAUUGGACGCCAUUAUCCGUUAAUAAUUUUUUUUUGAUUUAAAGAAUCUUUAUUUCUUGGGCUUAGAACUGAAUAUAUUACAUCACUUCCACAAUUCUAGGGUGUGGCCUGAGGUAUCAUUUCCUCAUAGGGAUUUGGGAAACCCUCCCAUUAUUUGAAGCAAGGUUGCAUUAUGAGGUUUGUGACUGUCAGCCUAUAUCUGGGGUUUACUGUGAUUAAGAGAUAAUGAUGAUGGUUGACCAUCAUAAACGUUGACAAAGAGGAGUUCAGGGGCAACAGAAGUGUAAGCACCACAGUGGUGCUUCAGCAUUUGCCCUGGUUCAACUCGGAUACUAAGGCGAAAUUCGAUUAUUUUGUUUUUUUCCAUUAAUAUCCAAGAUAAAUACUAUUUGGCUUCAGGUCCCUGUGAAAUAUUGUGUGCCCAGGGCAGUAGUUCAUCACUGCUAAUAUUUGCAAUAUAUUUUACUGACUUGUCCUGCUUUAGGUAGCCAUACUUUUGGAUGUAUUUGUAAAACUGUUGAGCUUCAACAAGCUCCAAGACAAGAUAUAAUAUUGUUUUGGUCUCAAUUAUUUGAAGAAGCCACGUGAUGUUGGGGUUGUCACCCAUCAUCAUCACUGCCAUGGUCAUUACUGGCUGGCAUUAUUAUUUCUCCAUUACAAGGACUUUGACAGCCACUGUCACAGGACCUAAUCUGUGGUAGAACCUCCACUCUCAGGGCAACUCCACUUUCUCAGGACCUCCAAAUUGCAGGACCUCCCCUGGCAUAGAAUGUACAUUUUUGCAGGACUUUCACUCUUGUAGCAACUCAACUCUUAAAAGACAUCCACUUUAGCAAGAUUUCCAGUGUCUUAGCACCUCCCUUCUUGAAGGACCCCCACUAUUGUAGGACCUCCACUGUUGCAGCACAUCCAUUCUCUCAGCAUCUAGAAUUUUGCAGAAUGUCAACUGGCAUAGAAAGUCCACAGUUGCUGGUUCUUCAAUGUCAUGAUAAAUCCACCGUAUCAGGACCUUCACUGUUGCAGGACCUCCAGUGUUGAAGCACAUACACUGUUUCAGGGCCACCACUAUCACAGGACCUUCUCUGUCACAGGAUCGCCACUCUCUCAGCACUUAUGCAGUCACAGGACCUUCAUUGCUUUGGACCUCCACUCUUGGAGAACCUCCACUGGUCAAGCACAUCCACUAUCUCAGAAACUCCAGUGUAUCGGGACAUUCACUGUUGCAGGAUCUCCCAUGUCUUAGCACACGUAUUUUUGCAGGACCUCCACUCUCGCAGACUCAUCUCUACUGUUUCAGGACCUACACUAUAACUGUUGGACCUCUAAUGUCACAGGACCUCAAAUGACACUGGAUCUCCACUGUCCAAUCACCUUAACUGUCCCAACUCCUUCACUGUCGCAGGACCUACACUGUUGCAGGACCUCCAAUAUCGGACCAAUUUCCUGUCUCAGGGACCUCCAAUGUUGCAUGACCUCCACUGUUAAAAGAUAUCCACAGUUGCAGAAUAGCUAGUAGAGUUUUGCAGGACCUGUAGUGGCCCAGGACCUCCAUUGCUGAUGGUCCUCCACUGUCUCAGUACCUUAACUAACACAGGACCUCCACUGUUGCAGCACCUCCACUGUCCUAGGAUGUCCACUAUUGCAGACAACCUCAGUCUUAAGUACCUCCAUUUUUGAAGGACCUCCAUGGUGCAGGACCCCCACUCUUAGAGUGCCUCCAUUGUUGUAGCACCUCCACUGUCCCAGCCUCAUCUCCACUGUCUCAGGACCCAUAUUAUUGCAGGAUCUCCAAUGUUGCUGGACUUCUACAGUUGCAGUACCUCCACUGUUGCAGGACCUACACCGUAGCAGGAUCUGCACUGUUGCACCAAUUCUACUUUCACAUUUUGUUGACAUUGCUGGUUAUUAGAUUUGAGUCUUAAUGGAAUGGGAUAUUACUUUUGAAAACACAGGAAUUUUUUCUGCAUCACAUGUGAUUGAUGACCACAUAUUCUAGGACUGAUAUCCCCUGGAAGAUUCCAUGAGCCCUUAGUCCACCAGUCUUCACCUGGUCGGAGGUGUUGUGUUUUGGGAGAAGUUGAAUCCAGGUUAAGGGAUGGGAUCAGCAGGACACAGUUCUGUAGAGUGGGCUACAUAUCAGUCAUAGUGAGUCCCCUCUGGGAUGAGUAGAAAUCCAGAACUGAGAAAAUGCUAUUACAGGCCCUCCAUUGUCUAAACACCUCCACUAUUGCAGAACCUCCACUGUCCAUACAUCAACCAGCUCCACUGUCCCAGAGCCUGAGAUGUUGAAGAAUCUCCACUGUCACAGGACCUCCAUUGCUGCAGGACCUCCACUGUCACAGGACCUCCAAUGACUCAGCAACUACACUUUUGUAGGACCAGCAUUGGCACAGGAUAAGCACUGUUGGUAGGCCCUCCACUAGCCUAUAACCUCCACUGUCCCAGAACUUCCACUGUUGUAGCACUACCAGGGUCAAAGCAACUACAGUGUUUCAGGACAUCAACUGAAGCAGGACCUCUAAUGAUGCUGCAGCUUCACUGUCACAGGAUCUCUACAUUUACAGGAAUACUCCUGGAUCAGCAAUUACAAUUUUGCAGGACCUCAGUUGUCACAGGACCACCGCUGUAGCCAAAUCUUCAAUUGUGCAGCAUCUCCACUGUAGGUAGAAUGACCUCCCCUAUCGCAGUGCCUCCACUUUCAAAGGACCUUCACUGUCACAGAACCUGCACUAUUUCAGUGCCUCCACUGUUACAGGACCUACCUCUUCACAGGAUCUGCACUAUUGCAGCAACUCUAAUUACACUUUUUCAAAGGCAUUACCAGUUAUUAGAUUUGAAGAUGAAUGGAAUGUAAUGUUACUUUUGAAAACAUAAGAAUUUGUCCUGUAUCAUUUGUGAUUAAUGGCCACAUGUGCUAGGACCAGUAACCUAUGGAAGAUUCCCUGAUCUGAUAGCUCUGUAGCCCUCAUCUUGUUGAAGCUGUUGUGCUUAGAGGGUCAUACAGUUCAGGUGAAGGGAUUGGAUCAGCAAUACAACUGUGUGGAGUGGAGUACAAUUAAGUCGUAUUGAGUCCCAGCUGGGAAAAGGAGAAAUCCACAAGACAGAGAAAUCUUGUGGUGGAGGAAGAAUCGUGAAGUACUUAGAGAGUAUAAGAAGGUAAGAAUUGUGGGGAAAUGGAAAACAGAGCCAAAGGAAGAAUGACCACAAAGCAAAGUGGGAGGGGUAAAGCACAAAGGUACCUCGGUUGUGCCUUCUGCUUGUUCUCGGGCUGCUCUCGCCAUGCCUCAUUUCUGAGAGAACACUGUUCUGCCUCAUGUAAGGUUUCUUUCUUGAUGUAAAGCAGAAACACAACUUGAGGGAUUCUCUCAUCUUCUUGGUCCAUCCUUUAAGUCCUCUGGGAAGGCCCCAGCUGGGGAAAGGCCUGCUCUCAGCUGACAAACACCUGGAGAAUAGGUUGUCCUUUAUGUUCUAAUUGGUGCUGCUCUUGUAAGUGUGUCUGCUUGCUGAGUAAAUGCAGGGGAAACCUCUGUCAUGUAUAUAUGCUUUGUCCAGUGUGGCUGUCAUCGGAAGUGUCCUGGAGAGAAGUGCAGUCCAGUGACUCUUCUGCUUCCUUUUGACUAGCCUCAUUAUUAUAGGCAGACAUUAGACCCUUGGAAGAUGAGGAGACCAAUGUGUCUAUGGUGUUCUCACUUCUACUCCUCUUCAGUCCUAGAGGGAAAUCAGUGCCAUCACCAGGGGUAGGGAAUGUUGCCAUAACUGGACAAACUUGCUGACCUUGGGAUCUGCAGCAAUGCCCAUAGAGAGCCUGCCCUUACAGUAAGCAAUGGGAUGCCACGGUCUGGUAAUAUUUUCUUUGAUGUAAUAUAUCUAUAAUAUCUUAGGCUCAAAACCCAAAAUAUCCAAUUGCUUCCACAUUAGCAGUGUCUGGCGUGAGGGGGAUCAGUUCCUCCAAGGAUUUGGGAACCAAUUCCAGUCUUCAUUGACCAGGGGUACAUCACUACUUCUAUGACUAUCAACCCAUAUCUGGGGUUGACUGCCAUUAAGAUGCUACACAGAUCUCCAGCUCUUCGGACAUCCCACAGUGGGCAGGAUACACACCGGCCACAACAUGUCUUCUCACCUUUUUAUAACAACUGAGUCAAAUCCUACAACAGUGAAAUAUAAGCCUACUCCUUAACUCAAAUAUUGCUCUUUGUUCCAUUACAAUGUUUGCCUAGGAUGUAAUAACAGGCAUCAAAAUUGUAAACACCGUAGUGCCAGCUCAUCGUUUUCUCAGGUUCAACUUUGCUAGGAAAGGCCAAAGUUGAUGAUUUUGACUUUUCUGUUCUUGUGUAACAAAAUAUCACUCGAUUUCAAGUCUCCGUGAACUACACCGUGCCCAUCACAGUAUAUCGAGUCUGCUAAUAUUUGCCUAAAUAUUUCCCUGACCUUGUCUUCCUCGAGGUGGCAAGACUUUCAGAUGAAUUUGUAAAGCUAUAGAAUUUCAACCAGCUCCAUGAGAAGGUAUAGAUGUGUCUCAGACUCAAUUACUUGGUGAAGCAAUAUGAUAUUGGUGUGGAUGAAUAUCUUCAUUAUAUUGGCCAUGCUCUUGUCUGACUGUCACCCUUGCUGCUUCUUUGCAUGCACUUUGAUAACCACAGUAGCAGGACUUUCACUGUCCCAGUCACUGCACUAUCCUAAGACCUCCCUUGUCACAGGACAUCCACUGUGGUAGUACCGCAUCUGUCAGGAAACUCCACAGUCUCAUUACCUCCAAACUGCAAGAUCUCUACUGGCACAGGAAUUGUACUGCCCCUGGACUUCCACUGUCACAGCACUUCAACUGUUACAAGGACCUCUACUGUUGUAAGACCUCCUAUAUCACAGCACCUCCACGGUGACAAGGACCUGCAUUGUCAAAAGACCUCCAGUGUCUCAGCCCCUCCACUGACUCAGGACUUUCAAAUUGCAGGAACUCUACUAGCACAGGUCAUCCACAGUUGCAGUUCCUCAACUGUUAUAAGGACCUCCAUUUUUGCAGAACCUUCAGUGUCCCUGCACCUUCACAGUCUCAGCAACGCCAACUUGCAGGACCUCUACUAGCACAGGAUGUCCACAGUAGGUAUACUUACACUGUUGCAUUACCUCAAUUGUUGCAGGACCUCCGAUGUGGUAGGACAUCCACAUUUUCCGCAGCUAGACUUUUGCAGGACCUCUACUGGCCCAAAAAAAUUCCUCUGUUCUGGACCUCCACUGACAGUGCAAAUGCACUGUCUAGGACCUCCACUGUUGCAAGACCUCCGAUGUUGAAGGAUGUCCAUUGUUUUAGGACAUUCCCUGUCAAAGAACCUCAACUGACACACAACCUCUGCUUUUGUAGGUUUUUCACUGUCCUAGAAAACCAAGUAUUGCAGGAAUUAUAAACUUGGAGCAACUGCAUUGUAUUAGGACAUUUACUGUUGCAGGACCUGCAGUGUGGUUGCACCUCCAUUUUAGCCAGGUCUCAACUGUACCAGGCUCAUCUCUGCUGAAUCAGCUCCUCCAACACUGCAGAACAUCCAAUAUUUCAGGUUCUCAAACAUCCCAGGACCCCAAUUGAUGAAGGACUUCCAAUGUUGCAGGACCACAAUAGUCACAGGUCCUCCACUGUCCCAUCACUUUUAUUUCUCCCAGCACCUCCACUCUCACAUGGCCUACAAUGUUGCCUAACCUCUAAUGUCUGAGCAACUACACUGUCUCAGGACCUCGAUUGUUCCAGAACCUCCAAUGGUGCAGGACCUCCACUGUCACCAGUUCUCCACUGUCUCAGAACAUCCACUCUAUCAUCGACUAGACUUUUGUAGAACCUCUCCUGGCAAAGCAUCUCCAUUGUUGCCAGCCUUACAUUGUCUCAAAACCUCCACUAUCACAGGAGUGCCACUGUUGUAGAACCUCCACCGUAAUAGACCUCCACUGUUGGAGGACCUCCCCUGUCUAAACACAUCCACUAUUGCAGGACCUCCACUGUCCAAGGAAUUCCGCUGUUCCAGGACAUUCACUCUUGCAGCACAUGCAUUGUCUCUGGACUUCCACUGUACCAGUCCCAUCUCCAAUGUCUCAGGACCUCCACUCUUACAGGACCUCCAAUGUUCACAACCUCAAAUACAAAACUGCACUAUCCCAGUGCCUCCACAGUUGCAGGCCCCAAACUGUCACAGGAUCUGCACUGUUUCAUUAAUUCCCCUGUCCCUUUUUUGAAAGCAUUGCUGGUUAUUAGUUUUGAGGCUUAAUGGAAUGUGAUGGUAUUUUUGAAAAAAUAACAAUUUUUCCUGCACAUCUUGUGAUUAAUUACCAGAUGUGCUAGGAUCAGUUGCCCCUAGAGGUGUGCACGAGCCCACAGCCCUCUAGACCUCACCUUGUGGCAGCUGUUUUGUUUCGGGGGUGUUACAGUCCAGGUGAAGGCAUGGGGUCAGCAGGACAACUCUGUAGUCCGGGGUACACAUCAGUCACAUUGAGUCCUUGCUGGGAAAAGGAGAAAUCCAGAAGAGGGAGAAGGCGUGGGGAGGAGGAAGAAACAGACAGUACUUACAGAAGUUAAAUGGAAACUAUUUGCAGAAAUGGAAACCAGAGACACAGGAGGAAUCAGCACAGAGCAAACUGGGCAGGACAAGGCACAAAGGUACCUGGGCUGUGCCUGCCUGCUGCUUGUUCUUUGGAUGCUGUGUCUAUCCCUCAUUUCUCAGGACAGACACUGUCCUGUCCCAGGGGAGUUUUCUUGCAUGACGAACAAAAGAACACUGCUUCAUUUGGAUAUUCCUAAUUUCUUAGACCAUCUCUUAAAUCCUCUGGGCCAGGCCAUGCUGGGGACAGACUUGCCUACUCCAGAGGCACAGAGAGAUAAAAGCAAAGGGUAAUCAUCAUAGUGUUGGUUCUGUAUUUGCCCUAUAUCAACUUGGUUCAUAAGGCCAAAGACCAUGACUUUGACUUUUCCUUUCUUGUCCAAGAAAAUAUCAUGUAUUGUCUUCUGUGUUGUCAUUACUGCUUCUGUUCUCCCUGAGACUGCUUGUUGACUGAAGGCAGCAGACACUCUAGCAUGUAUUCUUUGUCCUGCAUGGGUGUCAUCUGGAGUGCCUGGAGGAGAAGGCCAGUCUCAGUGGUUCUUAAUCCUCUAUGACUAGCGUUAUGGACAUAGGCAGAAAUGAGGCCAGGGGGGAUGACAAGUCCAAUGUGCCAAUGGUGGGUUGGUUUCCACUCUAAAGUCCUAGUGGGAAAGCAGCAUAAUCAUAAGGGUAGGGAAUGGAGCCAGUCUGAGACUGGUUGUGAAGCCAGGCACUUGGAUAGCCUGCCCUUCCAGUAAGCAAUUGGAGGCCAUGGUCUGGUUAUACUAUCUUUAAUAUAAAGAUUCUUUAUAUCUUGGGCUUAGAACUGAAUAUAUUUUAUUACUUUCCUCCCAUUCUUUGAAGCAGGAUUGCGUUAUUACAUCUGUGAUUGUCAGCUUAUAUCUGGGGUUUACUGUUAGUAAUAGAAAAUUAUGAUGGUUGACCAUAAACAUUGACAAAGAAGAGUUCAAGGGCACCAAAAUUGUAAGCACCAUAGUGCCGGUUUAGCAUUUGCCCUGUUCAAUUGGGGUACUAUGGAUAAAGUUGCUGAUUGUGGCUUUUCCAUUGAAAUCCAACAUUAUAUUAUAUGGCUUCAGGUAGCUGUGAAACAUUGUGUGCCCAUGGCAGUAGAUCAUCACUGUUGUUCUUUGCAAAAUAUUUUCCUGACCUUGUCCUGUUCUAGGUAGCCAUACUUUUGGAUGAAUUUGGAAAGCUGUUGACCUUCAACAAGCUCCAUGAUGAGACAUAAUUUUGUUUUGCUCACAAUGACUUGAAGAAGUGAGAUCAUGUUGAGGUGGUUACCCAUUAUCAUUACUGCCAUGGUCAUUACUGGCUGGCUCAUUGCUUCUACAUUAGCAGGACUUUGAUGUCCACUAUGCAGCAACUCCACUGUGAUAGAUACUCUGCUGUCUAGGCAACUCCACUUUCUAAGGACUACGAAUUUGAGGACAUCUACUAGCACAGGAUGUACACAUUUGCUGGACUUUCACUGUUGCAGCAACUCAACUCUUAAGGGAUGCCCACUGUUGCAGGUUUUCCAGUGUAUCAGGCUGCCACUCUUGAAGGACCUUCACUAUUGUAGGACCUCCACUGUUGAAGCACAUCGAUUAUAUCACCAACUAGAAUUUAUAGGAUGUCAAUUGGCACAGAAAGUCCACUGUUGCAUGACCUCCAUUCUCACUGUAAAUCUACUGUCUCAGGACCUCUACUUUUGUAGGACCUCCAGUGUUGAAGGAUUUCCACUCUUGCAUGUCCACCACUGUCACAGGACCUCCUCUGUCACAGGACUUCCACUCUUCCAGGCUCAUCUCCACUGUCUCAGGACGUCUACUAUAUCUCUAGGACCUCCAAUGUCGCAGGACCUCAACUGACACUGGACCUUCACUCUCCAAUCACCUUAACUAUCAAAGAACCUCCACUGUCUCAGGACCUUCACUGUUUCAGGGCCUCCAAUGUUGGAGCAACUGAACUGCCUCAGGGGCAGGACCUCCAAUGUUCCAGGACCUCCAUUGUCACAGGGCCUCCACUGUCACAGGAUAUCAACUCUUUUAGACUUUUGCUGGACUUCUGCUGGCAUGUGACCUCCAUUGUUGAGGGUUCUCCACAGUUUCAUUACUUUUACAAUGACAGGAAUACCAUUCUUGCAGAACCUCCACUGUCCCAGGACCUCCAGUAUUUCGGACUUCCUCAGUCCAAGUAGCUCCAUUAUUGAAGGACAUCUCUGGUUGCAGGACAUCCACUUUUACAGUGCCUCCAUUGUUAUAGGACACCCACUGUUCCAGCCUAAUCUCCACUCUCUCAUUAUCUCCAAUAUUUUAUGAUUGCCAAUAAUGGUGGACUUCCAUUGUUACAGUAAUUCCACUAUCUCUGUGCCUACAUUGUUCCAGGACCUACACUGACUCAUGAUAGGCACAGCUGCAUCAAGUUCACUUUCAAUUUUUCUUGACAUUGCUAGUUAUUAUAUUUGACCCUUACUGGAAUGUGAUGUUACUAUGUGAUGUUACUUUUGAAAGCCCAAGAAUUUGUUUUUUUAGCACAUGUGACUGAUUUCCACAUGUUCUAGGACUGUUAUCCCCUGGAAGAUCACAAGAGCUCAUAUUCCUCUAUUCCUCACGUUGUGGGAGCUGUUGCCUUUCAGAGGGUAAUGCAAUUCAGGUGAAAGGAUAGGAUCAGCAAGUGAUAACUUUGUAGAGUGGGGUAUACAUCAGUCACAUUGAGUUCCUGAUGGGAAGAGGAGAAAUCCAGAACAGGAAUAACCCUUGGCAUAGAGGAAGAAUCAAACAGUACUUACAGAAGGUAAGAAGGUACCAAUUUUAAGGAAAUGGAAAUGAUAGAGGAAGAACCAGCACAGAGCCAACUGAGUAGGACAAAGCACCAAGGUACCUGGGCUGUACCUGGUCCUUGUUCUCUGCAUGCUAUCCUUAUUCCUUCUUUUUGGGGAGAAUCUCUGUCCUGCCUCUUGUGAAGUUUCUUUCUUGAUGUAAAGCCAUGACAAAGGUUCAUCAGGGAACUUCCCCCAUUUCUUCCUCCAUCUCUUAAAGCCUCUGCUCUGACACCACCUGGUGAAUAUGUUGCACUCUUCUGAAGCACAGACAGAGAAUAUGUUGUUUUUUCUGUUCUCAUUGAUGCUGCUCUUCUCCCUGAAGCUGCUCAUUCAGUAAAUGUGGGAGACAGUGUCUUUUGUCCAGUGUUGGUGUCAUCUGGAGUGGCCUGAAGAGAAGGCCAGUCCCACUGGGUCUUCUGCCUACUCUAUAACAAGCAUUUUGGAUAAAAACAGAAGUUAGACCAUUGGAAGAUGACGAAACUAAUGUGCUGAUGCUGGGCUGGCUUCUGCUCUUCUUUAUUCCUAGAGGGAAAGCAGCAGCAGCAUCAAUGUUAGGGAAUGGUGCCAUAACUGUUCUCACUAGGUGACACUGUGUUGUGCAGCCAUGUCCCUUGAUAGCCUGCCCUUGCAGUAAGCAAUAGGAUGCCAUGGUCUUGAUAUACUUUUUUUGGUACCUGUAGUAUCUAGGGCUUGGAACCAAAUAUAUUGUAUUGCUUCCACAAUUGCAAGUUCUGUCCUGAGUGUGAUCAGUUGCUCAUAGGGAUUUGGGAAUGCUUUUCUGUCUCUCUUGAACUAGAUUUGCAUGAUGGCAUCCAUGACUGUCAGCCUGUAUCUGGGGUUUACUCUCAUUAAGAACUUAUGCAGGUCAUCCAGCUCUUCUCAUAUCCCACAGGGGGCAGGAUUCACACAGGCUACAACCUGACUUCUCACCCCUUUUAUGACUAGUGAAAUGAAACCUCUGACUACCAUGAAAUGUAAGACUACUCAUGUCUUCCCUGUGUCAUUCUUUGGACUAUCAUAAAAUUUGCCUAGAUAGAGCUCCACGGCAGCAAAAGGUAAUCAUCAUAGUGUCGGUUCUCUAUUUGCCCUAUAUCAACUUGGUUCAUAAAGCCAAAGACCAUGACUUUGACUUUUCCUUUCUUGUCCAAGAAAAUAUCAUGUGUUUUGAGGUUUCUUUGAACUAUUAUGUGACUAUGGCAGUAGUUCAUGUCUGAUAGUAUUUACCUAAAUGUUUCCCUGGUUUUGUUCUCCACCAACUGGCCAGCUGUUCAGACGUGUCUGUAAAACUGGUGACCUUCAAGUAGCGUCAUGACAAGGUAUUGUCUUGUUUCAGACUCAAUUACUUGGAGUAGUGAAAUGAUGUUGGAAUGGUCAAAAAUCAUCAGUACAUGUGCCAUCUUCAUUACUGGCUGUCACCCUUGCUUCUUCUUUACCAGCACUUUGACAGCCACUGUAGCAGGACAUCCACUGUUCCAGUAUGGUAAUGACCCAGCACCUCCACUAUCACCGUUCUUCCACUCUUGCAGGACCUCCCCUCUUGCAGGACCUCCACUCUUGCAGCACCUGCAUUUAGUCAGGACCUCCACUGUACCAGUCCCAUCUCCAUUUUCCCAGGACCUCUACUAAUGCUGGUCCUCCAAUGUUGCCUGACCUCCAAUGUAAAAGUACCUGCACUAUCUCAUUACCUCCAGUAUUGCAGGACCUACAUUGUCACAGGAUCCACACUGUUUACUAAGUCCACCGUCACUGUUUUGAAGGAAUUGCAGGCUAUUAUUUUUGAGGCGUAAUGGAAUGUGAUGUUACUUCUGAAAACUUAAGAAUUUGUUCUUCAGCUCUUGUGAUUAAUUGCCAGAUAUGUUAGGAUCAGUUGCCUCUGGAAGAUUCCAUUAGCCCAUAGUAGGCCUCUAGGCCUGACCUUGUGGGAGCUGUUGUAUUUUGGGGUGCUCUAAGUACAGAUGAAGGCAUUGGGUCAGCAGGACAAGUCUGUAGAGUGGGGUACACAUCAGUCAUAUUUAAUGCCUGCUGGGAACUAGAGAAAUAUAGAACAGCAAGAGGGCUUGGCAUAGACCAAGAAUCAUAUAGUACUUACAGAAGUUAAAAAGGAAACAAUUUUGAACAAAUGGAAAUCAGAGACACAGGAGGACCAUCAUAGAGUAAAUUGGGUAGGACUUAGCACAAAGGUACCUGGGUUGUGCCUGCAACUUGUUCUCUGGAUGCUCUCCCUGUGCUUCAUUUCUCAAAAGAGACAAGGCGUUCUGCCUCAGGUGAGAUUUCUUUCUUGAUGGAGAGCAGCAACACAUUUCAUCAGGACAUUUUUUUAUUUCUUGUUCCAUCCUUAAAGCCUUUUGGAUGGCCACUACUGGGGACAGUGUUGCCCUCUCCUUAGGCACAGAGGAAUAAUAGGUUGUCUUCUGUGUUCUCAUUGCUUCUUCUUUUCACCGUGAGGCUGCUUGUUGACUGAAGGUAGAAGACACCCUGGCAUGUAUGUUUUGUCCAGUGCAGGUGUCCUCUGGAGUGGCCUGAAGAGAAGGCCAGUCUCAGUGGUUCUUCUGAAUCCUCUAUGACUAGAAUUAUGAACAUAGGCAUAAACAAGGCUAUGGGAGAUGACAAGUCCAAUGUGCCAAUGGUGGGUUGGUUUCCACUUCUCUGCAGUUCAGGCCUAGUGCGGAAGUAGCAUACUCAUCAAGGGUAGGGAAUGGAGCCAUAACUGGAGUAACUGUCUGAGGCUGGUUGUGAAGCCAGGCACCUGGAUAGCCUGUCCUUACAGUAAUCAGUUGAAUGCCAUGAUCUGCUUAGACUUUCUUUGAUAUAAAGGAACAUUAUGUCUUGUGUUUUGAAUGGAACAUAUUGCAUUACGGCCAAAAUUCCAGGGUGUGGCUUGAGAGGUAUCAUUUCCUCAUAGGGAUUUGGGAAAUGCUCCCAUUCUUCUUUGAAGCAGGGGUGCAUUAUCAUGUCUAUGAUGGAUAUAUCUGGGUUUGACUGUCAUUAAGUUGCUAAGCAGGUCAUCUAGCUCUCUUGACACCCAACAGUGGUCAAGAUACACACCUGCCACAUGUCUUCUCAACUCAUGUAUGAAAAUAGAAGCAACAUUUCCAACUACCUUAAAAUGUAAGACUCUAGCAUUCAUAUGUGGUUCUUUGAACCAUCAUAAAUUUAUCCUAGGAAGAGUUCAUGGGCAUCAAAAGUGUUAGCACCAUUGUACAGGUUCAGCAUUUGCUCUGAUUGUCUUGGGUACUAAGGUCAAAGUCAAUGAUUUUGGCUUUUUGUUUCUUAUCCAACAUAUUAUUUGUUUGUCCUGUGAUUAUUCUGUGCCCCUGAGAGUAGAUCCAGGCUGUUAAUAUUUGCAUAAACUUUGCCAGGCCUUGUCCUUCACUAUGUAGCUAUACUUUGAGAUACAUUUGUAAAGAUGUUGAACCUCACCCAGCUCCAUGACAAGGUAUCCACUUGUUUUGGUCUCAAUUACUUGUAGAUGAUGUUGGGGUAGAUAAACACAAUUGUUGUCAUUGCCAUGGUCAUUACUGGAUGGCAUAAGUGCUUCUUCCUCACAAGGACUUGGAGGCCACUGUAUCAGAACAUCCACUGUCUUAGCACCUGCUUUUUCCCAACACAUCCACUGUACUGUCUGUCCAAGCCUAUGUUUUGUUGCCUUGCCCCUGAACUUCCUGCCAUUGCAGAAGGAAAUAGGAUGACAUGGUCUGGUUAGUAUAUUAUCUGGUUGAAGUGUCCUUAGUUUCUAGGGCUUAGAACCCAAUGUAUUCCAUUGCUUUUUCACAUUAGCAGGGUCUGGCCUGAGGGGGAUCAGUUGCUCAUAGGGAUUUGGGAACUGCUUCUAGUCUUAGUUGAACUAGGGUUGCAUCAUGACCACAAUGACUGUUGGCCUAUAUUUAUGGUUGACUAUCUUUAAGAGGCUAAGUAGGUCCUCCAGCUCUUCUGACACCCCACCAGAGGCAGCAUAUACCUCUAUUACAGCCUGUCUUCUCAGCUCCAAAAUUAAGAGAGAAUCAAAUGGAAACUUUCUGACUGCCAAAAAUUAUAAAAUUCCACCCAAGGUCCAUAUUUUGUUCUUUGGAACAUAAUAAAAUUUUUCAAAUAAGAGUUCAGGGACACCAAAAGUAUAAGUAUCGCAGUGCUGGUUCAGCAUUUCCCCUGGGUAGAAUGAGGUACUAGGCCAAAGUUCAUAAUCUUGACUUUUCAAUUGAUAUACAAACCAGCACUCUUUGGCUUCACGUCCCUGUGAAGUAUUGUUUGCCCGUAGAAGUGGCUCAUCACAGCUAUUAUUUGCACAAUAUUUCCCUAGCCUUGACUUGCUCUAGGUAGGCAUAUUUUGGCACACAGUAAGCAAGAUGAUCUCCUGGUUUGAUUAUGCAUUGUAAUAUCUUAGACUCAGAAUCCAUUAUGGUGCAGUUCUUCCACAAAUGCAGGGUCUAGCCUGACAGAGCUCAGUCCUUCAUAGAGAUUUGGGAAAGACUUUCAGUCUUCCUUUAACCAGGGGUACAUCAUCCCAUCUGUGACUGUCAACCUAUAUUUCAUGUUGACUAUCAUUAGGAGGCUAAGAGGUCCUCCAUCUCUUCUGACACCCCGCAGGGGUUAGGAUACAUACAUGCCACAAUGGUCUUCUCAAUUGUAGUAUGAAUACAGAGUAAGAUCUGACUUUUUUAACUACCAUGAAAUGUAAAACUCAGGUCCAUUUGUCAUUCUGUGGACUAUCAUAAAGUUGCUGAGGAAGAGUUCAGGAGCUCCAAAAGAGAAAGCACCACAGUGCCACUUCAGCAUUGCCCUGGUUCAACUAGGGUUCUAAGGCAAAAGUCUAUGAUUUUGACUUCUCCAUUUAUGUCCAAUGGUAAAAUUAUCAGGUUUCUGUUCCCUGUGCACUAUACCCUGGUCAUUUCAUUAGCUCACAGUUAUGAUUAUUUGCCUAAAUAUUUCCCUGCCUUUGUCCUCCCCUAGGUGGCCCCAUUUUCAGGUGCUUUGGUAAAGCUGUUGUCCUUCAACAAGUUCUUACUUGCAGAAGUGAGAUGCUGUUCAGGUGGUCGACCAUCAUUGUCUCUGCCUUGGUCAUGAGUGUCAGGCACCAUUGCUUCUUUAGAAGGGGUUCGAUUGCUCUGGGGCUGCCACUGAGUCGAAGGCGUUGCUCCUGUGUCCCAUGGUCCUUAAGACUUUGUAUUGAGAGUGGAAUUUUCCCUCAUCAGAAAUUCUGCUGAGGGCUAGGGUGUGGGGUCUGCUCUUUACUAUGUGUAAGCAUUGUAGCUAAAGAUACUACAAAUAUUACCUACAAAUAACUUAAAAGUAUAGAAUAAAAAUAGUGGAAAAGAUGUAGGGAAACUGAAGCUAAAUUCACAGCAUGUGUUUACUAAAAUGACCCAAAUGUCUUUGGGAUUGCAAUUUAUUCUUUUAUUUGUUUUUGUUUUACUUUUUGUUUUUGUUUUUUUCUUUGUUUUUUGGCUCUCUCAAGAGGGCAACCCUGUAGUGCAAUAGAUCACAUAUUCAGAUGAUGUCAGGUGAAAUAGUCAUUGGCCACAUAAAGGCUAAAGCCUGUGUUUGGGCAAUGGAAGGAAAGACACAGCAGAACUUUUUGGGGAAUGGAGAGAAAGAAGAAUAGAGGCGGAAGAUUCGGGCAAGAAGAAGAUGGGGGAGAAAGAGGUUGAAAAUGGAGCAGGCACACGUGGCUUGCAGGAGCCACAAGUAGGUAGAGAUUUUAUAAAUGGGCAAUAGAGUAGUGUAGUGGUAGAUUUGUCUAAUCUAAGCACUCAGCUUAUAAUUAUAUAAUUGAGUUUUCUGUUUUUGCAUGGGCCUUUUGGCGUUGGAGAUUUACCCCUAUAAAUCUGGCUAGUAGAAGCUUCUUGGGUUUUCAUUACAAAAGACUAAGGCAAAUCCUGUGAGAGGAGCAUUGGCCAGCCUUCUGCAGGUCGGGGAGAUGGGGUGGAUGAGAUAAGAAACGCAAGCAGCAGUCCAGGCAUUUCAGAUUAAAGUUGUUUGGUUAGAGUAGCAAACUAGGAGCAGGAACCAGGCAAGAUGGAUGCAUAGACCUGGCCAUGUGGAUUGAGCAUUACCACUGAUACCAGAGCAUAGCAGGAAUUUGCAUUCCUGUGUUCUCAUUGCUGUUGUGUUCUCUCUGAGGAUGAUUGUUGAAUGAAUUCAGGCGACACUGCUGCCGUGGAUGUAUGUUUGUCCAGUGUGGGUGUAAUCUGGUGUGGCCUCAAGAAACAAAGGGCCGCCCCAGUGACUCUUCUGCCUACUUUUUGACCAGAUUGUGGUCAAAGGAAGUCACUAGACCAUUGGAUGAUGAUGAGGCCUGUGCGUAUAGGGCGAGGUAGCUACCACUCCUCUACAGCCCAACAGGAAUGCAUCAUCAUCAUCAAGGAAAGGGAAUAACUGGACUCAAUGUGUGAGCCUCCAUUGUUCAGCCUUGCACCUGGAGAACUUGCCUGUACAGUAAGCCACAUGAUCCCAUGGUUUUAUUUUAUAUUACAAUUUCUUAGGCUCUGAACCCAGUAUGUUCUAUUUCUUCCACAAUUGCAGGGUCUAGCCUGACAGAGCUCAGUCCUUCAUAGGGAUUUGGGAAAGCCUUUCAGUCUUCCUUUAACCAGGGGUACAUCAUCACAUCUGUGACUCUCAACCUAUAUUUCGUAUUGACUAUCAUUAAGAGGCCAAGAGGUCCUAUAUCUCUUUUGACAUCCCACAAAGGUUUGGAUACAUACUUGCCACAAACGGUCUUCAAAACUGUAGUAUGAAGACAGAGUAAAAUCUGACUUUUUUAAUCUACCAUUAAAUGUAAAACUAUGGUCCAUAUGUCAUUCUGUGGACUAUCAUAAAGUUUGCUGAGGAAGAGUUCAGGAGCUCCAAAAGAGAAAGGACCACAGUGCCAGUUCAGCAUUGCCCUGGUUCCACUUGAGUUCUAAGGUGAAAGUCGAUGAUUUUGACAUUUCCAUUUAUGUCCAUCAUAAACUUAUCAGGUUUAGAUUCCCUGUGUACUAUACCCUGGUCAUGGCAUUAGCUCACAGUUGCAAUUAUUUGCCUAAAUAUUUUUUGCCCUUGUCCUCCUCUAGGUGGCCCCACUUUCAGGUGUUUUGGUAAAGCUGUUGUCCUUCCACAAGCUCUUACUUGUAGAAGUGAGAUGCUGUUCAGGUAGUCAACCAUCAUCAUUGUCUCUGCCUUGGUCAUGAGUGACAGGCACCAUUGCUUCUUUAGAAGCAGUUCCAUGGCCAUGGGUCUGCCACUGAGGCAAAGGCGUUGCUCCUGCGUCCCCUGGGCUUUAAGACUUUGUUUUGAGAGUGGAAGUGUCCCUCAUCAGAAAUUUGCCUGGGGCUUGGGUGUGGGAACUCCUCCUUACUAUGUGGAAUCAUUGUAGCUAAGAAUACUACAAAUAUUCCCUAGAAAUAACUUAAAAUUAUAGAAUAAAAAUGAUGAAAAAGAUGUAGAGAAACUGAAGCUACAAUCACUGCAUGUGUUAACUAAAACUGAGCAAAAUGUCUUGUGGACUGCAGUUUUUUGUUUUGUUUUUCUUGCUCUCUCAAGAGGGCAACUCUGUAGUGCAAUAGAUCACAUAUUCAGGUGAUGUCAUGGGAAAUAGUAAUUGGCCAAAUAAAGGCUACAGCCAGUGUUUGGGCUAUGGAAGGAAAAGAUAGAGCUGAAUGUUUUGGGGUAGGGAGAGAAAGAAGAAUAGAGACGGAAUAUUCGGGCAAGAAGAAGAUGGGGGAGGAAGAGGUUGAAAAUGGAGCAGCCCAUGUGUCUUGCACGAGCCACAAGAAGGUAGAGAUGUCAUAAAUGGGCAAUAGAGUAGUGUCGUGGUGUAUUUGUCUGAUCUAAGCACUCAGCUUGUAGAUAUAUUAUUGAGUUUUCUGGUCUUUGCAUGGGCCUUUUGGGGUUGGAGAUUUACCCCUAUAAAUCUGGCUAGUAUAAGCCUCUAGGGUUUUCAUUACAAAAGACUAACGCAAGUCCUGUGAGAGGAGCAUUAUCCAACCUUCUGCAGGUCAGCCAGAGGUGGUGGAUGGGAUGAGAAAUGCAAGCAGUAGUCCAAGCAUUUCAGAUUAAAGGUGUUUGGUUAGAGUAGCAAACUAGCAGCAGGGACCAGGACAAGAUAGCUGCAUAGAGCUAGCCAGGUGGGGUGAGAAACACCACUACUACCAGAGCAUAGCAGGAAUUUGCAUUCCUGUGUUCUCAUUGCUGCUGUUGUUCUCACUGAAGCUGAUUAUUCAGUGAAUUCAGGCGACACUGCUGGCAUGGAUGUAUGUUUGUCCAGUGUGGGUCUCAUCUGAAGUGGCCGGAAGAAGAGAAGAACAGCCCUCUUCGCUCUUCUGCCUUCUCUUUGGCAAGAUAAUGGCCAAAGGUAAACACAAGGCCAUUGGAGGAUGUUGAGACCAGUGUGACUAGGGUGGGGUAGCUUCCACUCCUCUUCAGCUCAAAGGUAAUGCAUCGUAUACAUCAAGGGUAGGGAAUAACUGGAUUCGAUGUGUGAGCCUCUGUUGUUCUGCCCUGCACCUGGAGAACUUGCCUGUACAGUAAGCCACAUGAUCCCAUGGUUUGAUUAUAUGUUGUGAUAUCUUAGGCUCUGUACCCAGUAUGUUCUAUUUCUUCCACAAUUGCAGGGUCUAGCCUGACAGAGCUCAGUCCUUCAUAGGGAUUUGGGAAAGCCUUUCAAUCUUCCUUUAACCAGGGGUACAUCAUCACAUCUGUGACUGUCAAACUAUAUUUCGUGUUGACUAUCAUUAAGAGGCCAAGAGGUCCUACAUCUCUUCUGACACCCCACAGAGGUUAGGAUACAUACUUGCCACAAACGGUCUUCAAAACUGUAGUAUGAAGACAGAGUAAAAUCUGACUUUUUUUAUCUACCAUUAAAUGUAAAACUAUGGUCCAUAAGUCAUUCUGUGGACUAUCAUAAAGUUUGCUGAAGCAGAGUUCAGGAGCUCCAAAAGAGAAAGGACCACAGUGCCAGUUCAGCAUUGCCCUGGUUCCACUUGAUUUCUAAGGCAAAAGUCGAUGAUUUUGACUUUUCCAUUUAUGUCCAACAUAAUCUUAUCCAGUUUCAGUUCACUCGGUACUAUACCGUGCUCAUGGCAUUAGCUCACAGUUGCUAUUAUUUGCCUAAAUAUUUCCCUGCCCUUGUCCUCCUCUAGGUGGCCCCAUUUUCAGGUGUUUUGGUAAAGCUGUUGUCCUUCAAUAAGCUCUUAAUUUUGGAAGUAAGAUGCUGUUCAGGUUGUUGACCAUCAUCAUUGUUUCUGCCUUGGCCAUGUGUGGCCUACACCAAUGCUUCUUUACAAGCAGUUCGAUGGCCAUGGGACUGCUAGGGAGGCGAUGAUGUGAUAUCGGGACCUUGGCAUUGCUCCUUAAGUCCUUAAGACUUUGUACUGAGUGUGGAAGUUUCCCUCCUCAGAGAUUCUGCUGGGGCCUAGGGUUUGGGAAAUCCUCCUUACUAUGUGUAAGCAUUGUAGCUAAAAAUACUACAAAUAAUACCUAGAAGUAACUUUAAAAGUGUAGAAUAAAAAUAAUGAAAAAGAUGUUUGGAAACUGAAGCUAUCGUCACUUCAUGUGUUAACUAAAAUGAGCAAAAUGUCUUGUGGAUUACUGUUUGAAUUUUUUCCUCUCAAGAGGGCGGCCCUGUAGUGCAAUAGAUCACAUAUUCAGAUGAUGUCAAUUGAAAUAGUAAUUAGCCAUAUAAAGGCUACAGCCUGUCAUUGGGCAAUGGAAGGAAAAGAUAGAGCAGAAUGUUUUGGGAAAGGGAGAGAAAGAAUAGAGAUGGAUGAUGCGGGCAAGAAGAAGAUGGGAGAGAAGAGGUGGAAAAUGGAGCAGGCCCAUGUGGCUUGCAGGAGCCACAAGUAGCUAGAGAUUUCAUAAAUGGGCAAUAGAGUAGUGUAGUGGUAGAUUUGUCUAAUCUAAGCACUCAGCUUGUACUUAUAUUAUUGAGUUUUCUGUUCUUUGACUGGGACUUUUGGAGUUUGAGAUUUACCACUAUAAAUCUGGCUAGUAUAAGCUUCUGGGUUUUCAUUUCAAAAGACUAAGGCAAGUCCUGUGAAAGGAGCAUUAUCCAACCUUCUGCAGGUCAGCCAGAGGUGGUGGAUGGGAUGAGAAAUGCAAGCAGUAGUCCAGGCAUUUCAGAUUAAAGUUGUUUGGUUAGAGUAGCAAACUACCAGCAGGAACCAGGACAAGAUGGCUGCAUAGAGCUAGCCAUGUGGGUUCAGGAUAACCACUGAUACCAGAGCAUAGCAGGAAUUUGCAUGGGUUUAAUUUAAAACUUCAUGCAAUAGAAGAUGUUGCCUGUGGUAGUCAACAAUCCACUAGGGAGUUAGGAUUCUUGUCCUAGGGAUGAGAGAAUUAGAUUCCUGAAUGAGCAGAGAUGAGUCAAAUGACUCCAGCACAUGGGAAUCUUAAUCAAACACAGUGAUAGACAGACCCAAAUCAGGCUUUGCGUUCUCUUCCUGUAAAAAGAAUCAGUAUAAUAAAUGGAUCCAGGCAGAGAGGGAGACUGAAGACUGCCUGCUUUUAAUAAAGUUUGGUUUAGUUGUUGCUAAUUUGGUGUAAUUUUGUUUAAAGAUAGAAGAGGACACAAUUUUGGCCACAGUCACCUGGGGAAUUCCUCCUGAGGUUCAGAGCUAACUCAGGGCAAAUGAGCCCAGAUUAUCUGGGAGCUCCUGCUGUGCAGGGACAAACUGAGCUAACAGAAAAACUACAGCCUCCAAGGCAGACAACAGAAUUUGGAUAAGGAUGAAACCCUCUAGGAAAGUCUCAGUGUCUCACAGGAUUCUCAUAUUCUCUCAAAAGAGGGUUAAAUGUCCUGUCUUGGCAGAUUAGAAAAGGCCUGAAAAAACUGUUUCUACUCUGCUUGUUUGGUUUAGUUCCCUCGUAUGAGUAUUUAAUUUUCGAAAUGUAUGUGAUUUUGAAUUUUCUGGUUAUUUUACUAUUCCUCUGGGAAAGAUGUCAAGCUAAAAAUCUUUCUGGUUACUGGCUAAAGUGUCUGCUAAUUUGGGAGAAAGACCUUAUGUUUCUGCUUAUAGGAAAAGUAAUUAGGCACUGGACUCCUUCCAGGGUUCUCUGGGUCAGAAAGGGCAGAUGAGCCCCCCUGAAGAACUAGAAAAUUCAAGAGAACCAAGCAAGAAAGGUAAAGAUUCCUUAUGCCAUUGUUCACAAUGCAUGAACGAAGACUUAUGAUUAGUUAUUAUUAAAUUUGGCUCAUAAAAAGACUAUCUUUUCACAUGCUUAAACAAAGAGCAGUAUUUCAUCUUGAGUAGUCAAGGUAUUUCAUGUUAAACUGGUUCCCAAUUGGCUUAGCAAUCGAGCCUCAGGAUGCAGAGUAACACAGCUGCAUAGAGCUAGCCAUAGGGGCUGGGUGUAACUCUGAUGCCUGUGUUUAGCCAGACUUAGUGUGGGGUUAUUUUAAAAUUACAUGUAACAAAAAGUGAUUGAAAGAAACUAAAGUCAAAGUUAGGAAAAUAGAAUAAAAAUUAUGGAAAAGAUAUCAGGGAAAAAGCUAAAGUCAAAAAUCCCAAGUAAAAUUCAAACAAAUAACCCACCUUGUAUUCUGUUCAGAAAAGUCACGAAGCUCUCUAGAAGGAGAGAAGACAGGAUGCAGCUGUUGGGCUAUCUCAGGCAAACUCUGCACCGGAGCACCUGUUCAAAGAGAUUAGAACAUCAUUAUUGUAUCAUGGAUGUUUACUGGGAGAAUGGAAUGAUUUCACAGCUGAGUUGUGGAAUUCUAUUGAUCUAUAAAAUAACCUAUGCAGUGGAUAAUAUAAAGUUAUGAAAUAUCUUCCAGCUUCAUUAAUCAGAACUAUAAAUUUUCAAUCUAGCCCAUGGAUGCUGAUGGUAACUGUCGCUUCUGUUUCCGACCCGUAGAAAAGAGCGACUACACAGCGUUCUUUUCAAAGCGGUUUAUUCAGGAACCUUACAACAUGCAAACAGGAAUCUUCUUUUCUUCUGUCUCCCUCCCAGCCCAGCCCCCGGAGCACACUCCCUUAUACCCUCCCUCAACUCUGCCUCCUCAGUCCAGACUGCAUAAUCUCAGUUCAUAGGUCCACGGCACAUGGCCUGAUCUUGCAUCAUGGUGCGCCUGCACAGCUCUCACAAUGGACGUGGCUAGUUUCAGGUGUGUGAGGAAGUCAGAUGCUAGUCAUGAGACUUAGCUGCAGUCCCAGGCGCCAUCUUGGGACUACCGCCACACCCGCUCCCCACAGGUAACUGUGAUUUCAAGGUCAUUUCCAAUCAUCUAUGUUAAGUGUUUUGACUCAAGGAAACUGGCAUUGCCAUAGAUGAAAUCAGUAAAAGGCAUAUUUAUUUCUUCUUUGCCACAUAACUAGACAAAUGUCAGUUCAAAAAGUUGCGAUUAUUUAGUGUACUUUUUUCAUCUCAGUUACUUAUGUAUUUUUUCAUUUAUUUAAAUUUCCAUACAUGUAUACAGUAAAAUAUGGUCAUAUCCACCCUAACAUCUGUCCUCCAACUUCUACAAGAUUCCUCUCAGAAUCCCCCGAUUGACUCUAUAGCCCUGGUUGGUCUGGGACUUGCUGUGUAAAUCAAAUUAGCCUAGAACUCACAGAGGUCCACCUGAAUCUGAUCCUGGGCUUAAAAGUCAGCACCACUAAACCAUUCCUCGUGUGUGUGUGUGUGUGUGUGUGUGUGUGUGUGUGUGUGUGUGUGUACAGAAAUACACAUACACACAUUUUUUGUAUCCCAGUAAGCCCUAUUAGUGCUAGUCAUACAUGCAUACUGUGUGUACAGACAUUCACUGGAUUAUCAGAGUCCUACCAGUGGCUUGUCCCCAAGGAAGAGUGAAUUUCUAUCAGCUGUUGUUAACUGCAGCUCCUCAUUUGAUGCAAGGGCUUAUAAGUUCUUCUCCCACCCAUGCACGAUGUGCAAACAAAUGACACAGCCACCUCCGUCACUUUACUCGGUUAACAUAUACUAAUAAAAUGUUAUGGUAUUUUCAAAUUUAUAUGUAUCUGUAUUGUAUAUGUAUAAUGACACAUUGUAUAUACUUGUAAUGGCUAUUCUUGGUUGUGAACUUGACUAUAUGUGGAAUGAACUUCAAUCCAGAAUUGGAAAGCUCACCUUUGAUCCUGAUUUGAGGCUGGGAGACACAAAUUUCUGAACUGAAUCUUGGCAUGGAGAUCAUGAGGCAAAGUGGCUGUGAAUCUCAGGAGUUUAAGACAAGGAGAUCUCUGAGUUCAAGGUCACCUAGGACAAAGCAAGUCCCAGUUCCAGCUGUGGUGGUACACACCUUUAAUCUGGGACACACCUUCUGCUGGAGAUUUAUAUAAGGACAUUGGAAGAAGGAAGAGUCUCUCUUUCAUCUGCCUGCCUGAUUUGUAGGACUGAGCCACUGCUAGAUCCUUGGACUCCUAUUCAUACCUGUUGCUGAUCAUUGUUGGGGAGUUGGACUAUAGACUGCAAGUCAUCAACCAAUUGUCUUACUGUACAGAGAUUUCCCAUAAGUUCUGUGUCUCUAAAGAACCCGGUAUAAGACAAUUCUCUUUUAUAAUAUCUAAUUUCUAUUGAUAGAUAAUGUAAUUUAUUUUUUUAUUCAUAAUAUUAUUAUAUUCAUCCCUAUGUUUAUAUGUAAAUAAAACACAGGUUGUAUGCCUAUGAAACAGUAACACACUGCAUACUUGAUGACUGCUGUCUUUUCCCUACUCCCUACUGCAGGGGAGAAAAUGGACCAUUCUCAUCAAUGAAAAAGGUAAAAUGAAAUGUUAACUAUUGGCUGGAAACACAGAUGGUUUACACAUAAAAUUACAUCUUCUUGAUUGCUACUUUAGAAAUUUAUCUUCAUUUCCUGAAGUCACUUUUUAUGAUACAUUACUAUAUCAAAUACUAUCUCAUAGUUUUUAAGGUAAGUUAAUUUUAUUCUUGGUACAAAAGUAUACACAUAGUGUUGUGCAACUUCCAGUAAUAUCCGGGUAGGGCUUCGUGAACAUAACUGUAUGGUUUAAUACUUCCCUAUGUGAUCCAAAGCUCUUUUGUUGUUAUAUUAUGAUCUCUAAGCAGAAUAUUUUUGAUCCUGAAAUUAUAUACAAUACCUAACUUUUUCUAAAACCCUUCAUUAGCUCUCCAUAGAAUGCUAUUUAAGUGUGUUUGACUGUUCGGUCCCAGGAUAUGAAUUCCAGUAGAGCACUUUCUGGAUAAUAUUUCCUUACAAAGUGCUGUUAACUGCUUCCUCCAAGAAGUUAAUUUCUUGUCUUGAAAUUUAAACCUUAAGUUUAAAUAGAAGAUAGAGAAGGCAGAUGCUGGAUUAUUUAGUACCAAGCUGGUUUUCUGUCCUGAUAUGGGUAAGGGCUAGUCACUUGAGGUGUUUCUCAUUCCUUUGGAUUUGUAGCUGUUUCAGACUUUAUAAAUAAUCAUUUUGAGUAUUACAAGUCUAUGGGCAUUUUCUCACCAAAUUGUCCAUUUUUACAGGAGUAUUUUUCUUACAAGUUUGGAACCAUAAAAUAGAAACUUUCCUAACUAGUCAAGCUACUAGGGUGUAUGUGGGCAGGGUUUUGCACAUUUCCUGCUGUGUGAUUUAAUUGUGCUGUUCUGACCAUUUUUUUUGCAUAGGCUGCUGGCCAGUAUAAACUGGAAAUCUAUGUUAAAUCGUUGUCCAAGGAGGUAUUGCAGAUGUGGUCAGUAUUUGUUUUAAAGGAAACAGUGAAAGGCAUUCUUCACUCGAGCUUUGUGAAAUACUGUGCAGAUGCUUAUGGCUGUGGAUACUGUGUGGUGUGAGGAAUGCUGUUGUGCACUGACUGUGUGGUGUGAGGAAUGCUGCUGUGCACUGACUGUGUGGUGUGAGGAAUGCUGCUGUGCACUGACUGUGUGGUGUGAGGAAUGCUGCUGUGCACUGACUGUGUGGUGUGAGGAAUGCUGCUGUGCACUGAUUGUGUGGUGUGAGGAAUGCAGCUGUGCACUGACCGUGUGGUGUGAGGAAUGCUGCUGUGCACUGACUGUGUGAUGUGAGGAAUGCUGCUGUGCACUGACUGUGUGGUGUGAGGAAUGCUGUGGUGCAUUGACGCUGCCUUUUUUCUUUUCUCCCUACCCCUGCAUCCUUCUGGUGGUUCAGGUUGGACAACUAGGUGCCCAUGACCAAGUCCUCAUUGUGGAUGGAUUUAGUCUAUUUGGACAUUCUCAGGAAAGGGCAGCAGAACUCAUGACUAGUACCAGUCCCAUGGUUACCCUGGAAGUUGCAAAUCAAGGCAUCCUCUUUCACUGCCUGUCCACCUUUCUUACCCAGCCAUUGUCCUCCAUGGUGCAGAGAGUGUGUUACCCCUUCAAUGGAAGAACUUCAGGAAGAGUUUUACCAACUUGAGCUGCAUUGAGUAGUGGCCAGCAUGGAUCUCUAGUGUGACAAUGAUAUGUGGAUCUAGAGCUCCUCAGUGGACUCUAUGACAUCCAGCCAGGAGCACCUGAAAUAUUCCUCCAAGUCAGUUACCCCUGCUUCCACUCUACCAAGAGUGGUCCUGGCCAUUGGAAAACCCAGCAGAGGUGCUGCCCACCCCUGUGACUGUCUUCCAGCCCAUAUGAACAGACCUCCCUCCACCACCUCCUCCACCACAUGUCCACCUACACCAGUGGUUUUGAUGGCAUUUCAGUGGCUUUGCCCCUCCCACCACCUUCUGCAAACAAGGCAGGAUCCCAGUCUGCUCAGGUGGCUGCUGGCUAGCAAAAAAGGAGGAGCAGCAGUGGUGGUCUGAGAUAUAGAAGGCCUGCCUGGAUAAGGAAGCAGAGAGGAAGCACGGGGAGCAGGAGAAGAAUCUGGGGCAGAUGCACUCUCAUUCCCUGAUCCCUGCUUCCUUAUCUCUUUUGGCCACACCGGCCCAACCAGGAAAACCUUCCACACUGCAGAGGCCCCAAGAAACAGUUACUCUGGAGCUGUAGCCCCAGCAGCAGCCCCCCACUAUUGAGCACAGGAAUCUGCAGUAGAAAACUAUCAGUAAAGAGGAGUUGUCCUGUGGGGAUAGUCUGUCUCCAGACCCAUGGAAACAAGAUGCCAGGGAGAAGCUGGAGAAGCAACAGCAAAUGCACCUUGUGGACAUGCUAAGCAAGGAGAUCCAUGAGCUGCAAAACAAGGGGGACGGUAGUGCAGAGGAGAGUGACUGCCUGUGGAAGCUUAUGCUGGAGUGGCUGUUUUGGAAGAGACUUCAGGCUAUAUUUCUUGUGUUUCUCCCAGGUUCAUUUCUUGAACCUGUUCUUGAAAACUGUUCAAGCAGCCCAACAUUUGACAUUUUCAAAGUAGAAAUUCAUAACAACUAUGUUUUUGACAUUCUGGCCUUAGAUAAUUCUACAGUGAUGUCUAUGGUUAAGUGCCAGGCAGUGAGAACCCAGGAGUGACGAUCAGAUGUACACAGGAUGACCUGCAGGUGAGGUGCUCCUGGAGCCCAGUGUCCUGAGUGCAGGUCCUCAACCUUACAGCUGCCCACUCCAGCUGUGCCUGGGAUGGAGCCAGUGCUACCUACCUAGGAAGCAGCUCAGGGAUUGUGUGCUUACUAUGUUCCCCAUUGGUUCAGUUCAUGACAAAGGUUAAUCUGAAGUAACAGCAGGAAUUUUAGCCCGCUGGAAUUCUGUAUCUGAGAAAGUACAUGUCUUUAGGAACAUCAAGAUGCUCACGUCUAACACGUUUCAGCUUUAUAUGUCACAGAUAUCAUAAUAAAGCUGUUUAUAACCUUUUUCUGUUUGGGGUAGCUCAAGGGUAGAAUGUCCUGACCCUGAGUAUUAUAUCUAAUUACCCAGAGAGAGAGAGAGGGACAGGAAGGAAGGGAGGGGGAGAGGGAGGGACAGAGACAGGGAGAGAGAGAGAGAGAGAGAGAGAGAGAGAGAGAGAGAGAGAGAGAGAAAGAGAGAGAGGAACAAAAAGUUUGUAAAAAUAAGCAAAACUUAAAAAUAUAUAAAUAACUAAAUUAUUAAAAGUCUAUAUGAGAGUCAAUGUUUAUCACCCAAAAUUGAGGAAGGGGCUUGGAGAAACGAAUUAUCUGCCUCCAACCUCCAAAAACAUACACACACUCAAUCAACAACACGUCUAAUUAUACCUGGAAAUACCCAUAUUUUAUAGAAUGCCAUAAUGGAAAGUGAGAAGCAUCAUUUUCGAUAAGGGUUGCCAAUAUGUUCUUUUUCCAAGGUGUGUGCAGCCGUGCCAGUCUUCCUCACCACGGGAUGGAAGAGGUCCCUGACCUGUGAGCCUAGAGGUGACCAGGGGAUCUUUGCUCCAUUCUGAGACUGAGAGGCAGGAUGCCCACUCAAGGGUCCAUAGCAGGGAAGGUUUUCAAGCUACGUACAGUGCUGGAAAAGCCUACACAAGGCAUACAGUUAGCAGUGAUGUGUUUGCAGGGAGUCCAAGGAACCAGCUUUUUACUGAUGCAGGUGGGCAAGCAUUUAUCAUCCACCUGCCACUCUGACAGCAAUAAGAGUAUUGCUUAAGUUUUGUUUCAUAGAUUUGAUCACUGAAAAAAUACCAAAAAUUGGACCCUUAACGUUGUAGCAAAUAGAAUAGUGGAUGCUAAGACAGGGACCUUUGACUCUUCUAACACCAUUGUCUAUUUCAGAGCAAGAAAGGAGAGUUAUCAAUGGACAGCAGUCUGCUUCCCCCAUGAGUGCUCUACCACUGAGUUAGUAGCCUUAGCCCUCCUCACCUUUAGAUAAAGGGUGUCACUAAGUUGUCCAAGCAGACCUGAAACUCAUGCUGUAGACCAGGCUAGCUUUGAACUUCUGAUCCCCCUCCCUACUGUGUGUCUUGAGUGUCUGGGAUUACAGGCCCAUUUCUCUACAGCUGAGCAGCUUGCUUGUUUGCUUCCUCCUUUCUUUACUCCUCUUCCUCCUCCUCUUCCUUCUCCUCCUCCUCCCCCCCUCUCUCUGUCUCUUUCAUUCUUUCUUUCCUUUCAUUCAUUCUUUCUUUCAUUCUUUAUCUUUCUUUUCUUCCUUCUUUCAUUCAUUUGUUCCUUUCUUUUAAGAUUCAUUUACUUUAGUGCUCUAUCUGCGUGUACAUCUGUGUGUCCAAAGAGGGCAUCAGAUCUAAUAAUACACAGUUAGUAUCUAUGAUAUGGUGACUGGAAUCGAACUCAAGACCUUUAAAAGAGCAGCCAUGCUCUUAACCACUGAGCCUGCUCUCCAGCCCCAGCCUAUUUUCUUAAACUUACCACACUUGGUUCACAUGAGAAUUGUCUGUCAGAUGAGUAAGAUAAGGUUACCCUGAGCGCAGAGUGCUUAUCCCUUGUCAGAUCAUCCAGGGGGUUACCUCUGACUCAUGCUGUCCUUUUCCAGGUCUGUCACCAGUGCCCUGGAGUUUGUGGGCCUCAUCCACAGAGGUAUGCAACUCAGAGAACAUGGCCCCUAAGGCUACACCCACAUUGUAAAAGCCAGCGAUGUCAAUCACAGCAGGUUAGAUGUCAGCCACCUGAGUCAUGCAGUUUGACCACAUGAGACUCACCCUAGGACUUAAAUGCAGUGCGUUCAAGGUCUCACAUGCUAUGCUGGACAGCUGCUCUGGGCCUCCACAUCAUAAGUCAGAGUACAGAGCCCUGGGCACAGCAGGACACACCCAGGCUAGUUUUCACUCCUAUGGAAAGCCAGUAGAGAUGGACAUUCUCCAUCUUGCUACAGUGACACUUCUGUAAGGGAUGAGACUGCUUAGGGCAGCAUUGUCUGUUUAGUAGGCACAUCCACCUCCAGGACUUGCCCCCUAUGGACAGUGCUUGAGCAAAGCCUGCCUCAUGGUGCUUAGGGAGUCUCAGUUGUCUGCCAAUGGAUUCCCAGACAUUCAGCUCUGUCUGAUGAUUGACAGACCUUUGUGACCCUUCUGUUUUCCACUCUCCGGACCACAGCCCCAAAGUCCAGCCAAGCUGACCUUCACGAGAAAGCAAGGGCAGGUAUUUGUGGAUUACUACUGCACUGGGCUUCAUCUCCAGUGGACCCACCCGACCAUGCUGGGCAGCUCCUGGGGGGCAGGUUUCAGCACAUGGACUGGGCCAGCAGUGUGUAUGCAGGUGAACGGGGGACGACAUCUGCCCAGUCAAGAAUGCCAGAGUCAUCAAAGGGCAACACAGUAGAGAGAGCUUGUGAACUGUCAACAGAAGGCCAUGUUAUACCCCAUGAUGGGCCUUAUGUUGUUCUGUGUCUAGAAAAAGGGUUACCUGCAGUUAAAAGGACUGUGGUAUCCAAAAAGGGACCUCAAUGACUACCAGGCCAUGGUGCCUGUCUGGGAAGUGGGUGGGUCCCAUGGUCCCUCCCAAGAACCACCUCUGUUUGCCUGUUCCUGUCUGGAUAGCAUGCUCACAAGCGACUGGACUGCUUACUUUACAGCUGUGUCUGCGGUGACUGGGUUUGCCCUGAAGGAGGCCUUCUUUAUCAAUUAGAGUCUGGCUGUCCUAGCAGAUGGCCUUGUGGCCUUGUCAGAGCACUGUGACCACAUCCCACAUCUGAACAGCAAGCUAGUCAACAGGAUGCUCUAUCGGUUUGUCUUCCUCAGAGACCCCAAAAUACAGGGGGCAGAGAGCUGGGCUUUAGGCAGCUACCACAGGCAUGACUGCUCUUAUUUGUAAGCCGCACCGCCUUUGGCCGAGUUACGGUUCUGCCAGGCCCUCCCAUGUUCUGUCUUCAGCAUCUUUGUGUGUCAAUGAAGCUUACACUGUGUAUUAACUGUGCUGCACGUUGGCCUAGAGGCUGGGCUUUCCUCUUGAUUUUCCAGCAAGACUACAGAGUUCCCGGGGGAGACUCUCAUCAUGGCUCUCCAUAUUCUGACAGGCACAGUCUGUGGAUGUCUCUAAGGUGUUGGAGAUCGGACCCCACUGAGGGGUGAGAGGCUUUCAGUGGCUUAUAGACCCAAGGCUUGUGCAUGAUGGCUUUUUUUUUGGUUCUUUUUUUCGGAGCUGGGGACCGAACCCAGGGCCUUGCGCUUCCUAGGUAAGCGCUCUACCACUGAGCUAAAUCCCCAGCCCUGCAUGAUGGCUUUUAUUGUGUGUUUGGUAGCAUGUAUGCCCUGCUCCAAGUGUAGACAGACACUCCCCAUGCUUGUAGUCCCUGCUUGGAGUGUGGGUACACUCUGUCCAUGCAGACAGCUGUCUCCGCACACACAGAUGCCAUUUUCAUGAUUUACGCCUGUCAUCUUUGAUGUUUCUUUUAAUAGGCAGUCAUGUAAAGUCACUAUGAUAUUGUGGUGACUUUCUUUCCCCAGCCUUCAGAUGAAUAUAGGAAAGAGACUCUGGAAUCUGCCUGGGCUCCUCCUUAUGCCCACACCUUGACCCCACUGAACUCUCUUUGGCAGAGACAUGGCAGAGCCUGGCCUUUAAUUGUCCUGUUCAUUCCCUAUUGAUUGUGACCACAGUCUGGAGCUCUGCACAGCCUGGUGUCCAGAGAAAAUUGGCAUAGUUCCCCACAAUGUCUCCACAGGCUCAGAGGAAGGACAUAAAUAGAAUCUUUAUGGGACCCAAGUGGCUUCUCCGGGUCAGCCAAUGGUCUUGGCUCCUUCUUGUCUCUGAAGACACAGGGCACAAGUCCUGACCUCCAUGCACCUUUAGCUGCUGCACACACUAAGGAUGAGUCCAUUGGCUUCUGCUGCUUCCGGGAGUCCUGAAAACCACAAUCCCUCAACCAAGGGAACUGGUGGGGAACAAGUCAGCUCCCUGAGGACCAGAAGCCCCACCUGGGUUCACUACUAUGUUUCCCAAAAUAAUGAAGAGCUGCUGUCAUAGCAGGCCAUGCUCUGGUGGGAAGGGCAGACAGGCACAUCCAGACCCACAGAAGGCUGUACUGUGGCUGUGCUGGGCAUCCCAGGGGCGGGGUGGGGUUGGGGACGGGAGACAAUUGGUCCAUGGGUACCAUGGGUAUACAUGGACACCUAGGCACAUAAGGGGGUAUGCAUAUACACGAAAAAACUCCCUCUCACACAGAAGUUGGCAUGAUGUAUAGAAAAACAAGGCCAUCCUGAGUGUGGGCUUCACUUUAGAUAUUAAGGUCCAACGUUAAAACAGGAAUGUGUGAAGACAAGGAGCUCUGUGUUCCCUGGGACCAGAAGGAACAGAGUGGCUGUGCUGACUCACAUGAAAUAAACUCUCAAUCACAGUCUGUGACAGCCAGGUCACAGGACCCAGGCUGCUGUGUUAUGUGUGAGCACCCAGUGCAGCCAGAAGCUAAGUACUGAGCACUGACUGGCCCAAGCCCAGAAAGGGUCUCUGUUUUUCAGAGUGCUGGGGGACAGUGCAGUGUGUAGCAGUUUCCUCUUGAAGACUCUUCUGGGGUUUUGAGUUCCCUGUAGAGGAUCCUCAUGACUGCAGACACUAAGCCUGGGAGGAAAGAUCCUCAUCUGUAGAGUUCAUUGAAAGGCCUGAGAGCAGAAAAGCAAAGAAGCAGCAAAAUGUGCCCCUUCUGCUCACUGUGGUUCAGCUUCUGCCUUUGCAGUUGAGCUCAGGUGCCCUGGAGUCCUCCCUAGCCUGAGUGAGUAAUUUCAAGGCCAAGUCACAUCCUCCUGGUUUGUAGUAUCAAACGCAGCCCAGUUCCAGCCCAGGUAAGCUGUGAAUACCAGGUAUGCCUUGCUGUCUGCAUUGUAGGGGAACUGUUGAGCCCCAAAGGACGCAAGGGCUACAAGGUAAGGAAUCAUAGGACUGGGCUAGGCCUCGAAUCCAAGUUCCCUUCUCCCCCUGCCUGGUAACUGGUUCUUGCUGUGUAUAGGGGACAGAAAGAAAGGGUCCUAUGGGAGCCCUGGCACAGGCCUGCCCAAGCAUGGCUUAGGGAUCCUCACAACAUCCUAGCAUUUGAUGUGUCCCCAGGUUUGUCUACCACCCUCAGCCGUGUGCCAUUUUCUGUGCCACCUGCAAGGGACUCUAAAUAUCUUCCUACAAAAGGUGAUCAAGGAGGGGGUGUACAAGGACACAUGGUGGCUCUGUGGUGAAGUUAACAUGGACCAAUAGAUUAGAGGGCCAGAGCCCCAGGACUAAUGCUGGGUGGACACACUCCUCUGACAUCCAACACAGAGAUCUUUGUACAGAGAUCAAGAGAAGUCUUAUCUGAAUAGCAGUGCAGAGCACCUCAGGCUCAGGGACUCAGGACUGACACCCAUAGAAUGCUGUAGAGGAGCCGUUUGUGAUUCAAGGGCUCAUCUGCCUGGGUCCCUGUGCCUCUAGAGAUGAGCAGAGGACUGGGCUGUGGCUGGUUAUGGGCUCAGACAGGGAGGUGCUAGGGAGCUUGUUUUUGACUCCUGGGAGUAGAGCAGUUUUUCUUUCCCUGUCCCUGCUUUUUGAGUUUUUCUUUCCUUGGGAAAAUGGAAGGACUGGAAGAAGUCUGUCUAUGGAGAGUGAGGCUGGCUGGGAAACUGCUCGCUGUUCUCCAUUGUCAUCCUGCUGGGGGUUUGGGGUUGUUGGCAGGUUAGCCUCUCCACCAUUCCAGUCUGCUUCUCUCCAUUUAAUCCAUGCAUCUCUGUCUCUUCACUCCGUGACAUGGAUGCACAAGUCCUACCUGUAGCUUUCACUCCAAGGCAUAAGUCCCUCAGUGAGUGAAUUCCAGAUGGUUCUGUCUAGAGCAGCAUGGUCCAGGGUAGUUGCUCAGUAUGUAGGUACAUGGAAGAGGAUAGUGCACGGCAUCCACACACAUUUCAUAUAAAAUCAAUCCUCAUGGUCAGGUACUAAUCCAUUCUAUUUACACCUUUCGCCAUUAUUGCUAUUCACUGUACUGUGAAUUUUUAUUAUAUUUCACUUCUGCAAAGGAAGAGACAGAGUUUAGCACUGGAGAGUCCCUAGGGACUGGCUGGAAAGGACGCCUUGACACACAUGUGUGCUUCUGGGAAAAAGCUCUUUCAUAGGAUGCCUCCAUGAGUUCCAGGAUGUGUGGAGGGCUCUGUGCCCUAUCCAGGGUUGACCUCAAUAUAUUAAUGGGAGCUGAGGCUUCUCUCUAAUAGAACAGUGCCACCCUCCUUGGAGCUGUCUGUGAUUGUAUAUUCUUAGCUCUAGAGUAUCAUUAUUAGGAGACUUUGCCUUGUUAAAUAGGGGUGUCACAUUGGCAUGGGCUUUCAGACCCUUUUCCUAUCCACAUGCAAGCCAAUCUUCCCCAAGCAGCCUUCAGAUGAAGAUGUAGAACUCUCAGUCUCUCUAGUACCAUGCCUGCCUGGAUGCUGCCAUGCUCCCAGCUUGAAGAUAAUGGACUGAGUUUCUGAACCUGCAAUCCUGUGUUCAUUAAUAUUGUCCUUAUAAGAGCUGCAUUUGUUGUGGUGUGUCUCUUCUCAGCAGUAAACCCCUAACUCAAACAAUGUCCAUGUUCCCUUCUUCUGCCUCCAGACAUUAGAAGCUUCCUACAUGAGCGGCAUUCUCUUGGGAUAUGGCCCUGAUAGGCGCUAGGCUGUCUGCUUGAUCUGAGAGUGCUAGGACAUCCUGCUCCUAAGGGCAUUGUUACCGCUCCCUUGCAAUACUGUGAAUAGCAUCAGCAGGCUCCUGCUCUGUUACCCCCUGAACACAAUGCUGUCUUCUCCAGGAGUGGAUCCAACAGCUCCCAGAACCUCCUCAGGAACUAUGUGUUUCCCAAGGAUUACCUGCACUUGCUUACACACCCCUAUCCUGUGUUCUGAAAACUUUUCAAAGCCCAUUCAUCUGAGACUGGUGAGUUCAGGACAGUAGUCCCAAGUGUCUUGUCCUACCCUGACAGUUCACUCUCAUGAGGCAUCACCUGCGCUUGACAGAGGAUUUUCCCAAGGGGCAUUGGAUGUGCAGGAGAAUUGUGUGUCCUGAGUCUUUUCAGAGCAGCAAAGGAGGACAUCAAGGUCCCAUUUGCUUUUGGUUUUUGAACUCAUGGGCCUGGCACGGUCUUGUUGGUAUUUAGGUCCCUGUCAGUCCUGAAUUGAAUUUUAGCAUGGGAACCCAGGGCAGUUGUCUUCAAAGAUAUUCCUAGCAUGGACCACAUCUUCACCUCACCAGACAUAAAGCACGACAAACACCAGGCAGGCAGAAAACCCUCAGAGGCUGGAACUGUCAUGUUCAAACAUUCUGGCUUGACCUUGGCCAACACAGGUUCAGAGAACAGCCUCUAUGUAGGAAGAUCUCCUUCCUCCUCUCAGAGUUUACGACAUGUAGACUUAAGCUAAGCUGCUGGCACACAUGUGAGCAGAGGCACCAGCCUAGGCUUGUUCAAUAUCAAAGCCUACCUGCCACCCCUGUAUCAUAGUCAUAGCAGCACAUCUCAUGAGAAUUCUAGGGGUGGUGAUAUUCUGGGUGAAUAUUCUGUAUUCUGCUGCCAGUUACUUUGCUUCCACAUGUCCAACUGUGAGAAGGGAUUGAGAAAGGGAAGGUGAUGAAGUCCUGCUAUUAUCUACUUGGUGCCACCAAAGACAAUGUGGUCUUACUGGCAAGAUCUUUGCAUUAGAUUUUAUAAAAAGUGACCUCAGGACAGUAGGUACUCUCAAGAAGGUGCAGCAUGGUGGGUACAAUGGAACAGGAUCCCUGAGGUUGGUAAAGUGGGCCAGGGUCCCUGGGGUAGGAGCAAUGGGGCAAGAGCCCUUGGGAUGGGAUCUUGUAGUAGUGACCCUGUGGAAUGUGUAACUGGCAGGGACCCUGGGGUAGGUGCACUGUGACGUGCACCCAAGCUGGAAUGUUCAGACAGGUGUGUGUUUGCUUCAUGCAGCUGCUGUCUGAAGUAGAGAACACUGUCAUCUGCCCCAGAGGGGAUUUUGGGAGCUCCUUCCAAGAAUGCCUCAGCUCCUUACUGAGAAGAUAUACAUUCCACAGAUGGGGCUUUAUUGAGAUGAGCAGAUUCUAAGGGGGCUGCCUCGAAGGAACAGCCAAAGAAAGCAGAAAUGAACAAGCAAUUGCACCAGCCAUGUCGAAGGUGACUUUGCUCUGAAGAAUAGGACUGGAAGAAACUGAUUAAGUCAAAUCACUUCUCUAUCUCUGUAUCUCUAUCUCUAUCUCUAUCUAUCUAUCUAUUCACCCAUCCAUCCAUAAUCCAUCCAUCUAUCUAUCUAUCUAUCUAUCUAUCUAUCUAUCUAUCUAUCUAUCUAUCUAUCUAUCUAUCUAUCUAUCUAUCUCCCUGAGGGAAGUCAGCUUUCAUUUGUAGGAAGAAGGUCACAUCCGUGCCCCAUUAUGGUGAAAACCAGGAUUGCAGGGAGUGAGAUAGAUGGGUUAUUUCUUUCUUCCUUCCUUGAAUCUUCUUAUAUCUUUGUUUCUUUGUAUCUUUCUUUCUUUCUUUCUUCCUUCCUUCUCUCUCUCUCUCUCUCUCUCUCUCUCUCUCUCUCUCUCUCUCUCUCUCUCUUCUUUCCUUCUUACUUCUUUUUUGCUUUUGGUGGGAUAGAAUGCCAGUUGUGGCCAGUCCCCAUCAGCAUCCACUGUGCUACAGACCCAGUCUCAGUGUGACACAGAAGAGGCCUAACUUUGAAAGUUUGUCCUCUCUCUAAGGGAUACUGUAUAAUACAGUGCUCUGGACUGCAGGUCAGACAAGGCCUGCGUUUAGGAGACUUGUGGACAGAUGAAUGUCUGUGAGUCUGGACUUAGACUCUGUGGAGGGCUCAGGUCACCUGACUGUCCUGAAGCUUCCCACUGUGAUUUAUUUCCCUCCUACAGAGUCAGCCACCUGAGCAACUGCAUUUCCUGGUCAGCCCCUAAUCCUCUUACACUGUGUAGAGUGUUCAAUCUCAGGGAAGGCCUGGGAAUCUGAGAGACACCACUGAGCCCCCUGGGCCUGGCUGACUCAACCUGAGGCUACCCUGUGUGUCUUCAUUUUGCUCACCCUCCAGAGACCUCAAAAGUCAGCAGUGAGCUUGCUGAGAGGCCAGGAACCUCCAUAUUGGCCCAAGAGCAACUGUCCUCUUUUACAGGUUCAUCCACAGAGCAUGUAAUUCUGAUUGGUGCAACAGUCAGGAAGAGUGAAAGACGUCAUCUCCCAAGGGCAAGUGCUGUGCUAGUGGACACUGAGGAGCUGCAGGGAUCAAACCCUUCCCCAUCCUUCUCCAGCCUCUCUUGUUCUUCCUUGAGAUGUUUCCUACAGAUCUGAAAGAUCCAGGCAGUCCAUGACAUGCAUUUGAAUUUAAUCUCAGGACAUUUUACUCCUUGCUCUAAAAUUAAGACCAGGUAAUUCAUUUGUUUGUUUGUUUAUUUAUUUGUUAUAUGUAAGUACAAUGUAGCUGUCUUUAGAAACACCAGAUACAGCAUCAGGUCUCAUUUGAGAUAUUUGUGAGCCACCAUAUAGUUGCUGGGAUUUGAACUCUGGACCUCUGAUAGAGCAUUCAGUGCUCCUAACCACUGAGCAAUUUUUCCAACUUCCAGACUAACUUUUUAAAUUCCCAUAAUGUAUUCUUUAUUCAGGUUACAUCCUGAUCCCAGCCACUCUCCCUCUGCCUGUCUUCAGGGUAGGAGAUUACAGGAAGGCCCCAAUUUUCAGCAGGGGAGUGGGUUUGCUUCCAGAGCAGGCAGUGGGGUCGUAAACAUCUCACUCUCAGGGAAUUGGGAGCUUUCCCAUAUAAGAAUUUUCUGUGGUGGAAGCUCAGUUUGCUGUCUGGCUUCUUUUCAGUUUUCUCUUGCUUCUUCUGGAAUAAGAAUGUUCUUUAUUAAGAGCUUAGAGGGUGUUUCUGGCCAGACUAUGUUCAUGUGCAGGCCCAUCCCUGGACGGCUGGAUGCUUAGACUCUCCUGGGGAGACCUGUUUCCUUUCUGCAGCAGGCCAGCUAGUAUGAGAACUAAAGGACCCCAUCAGAUGUUCACGGUGCACAACACACAUACACAAACUCACGCAUGCACACACACACACACUAUACAAAUAUAUAUAUAUAUAUAUAUAUAUAUGUAUAUAUCUUCCAUAUUCCUAAACCCACACAUCAUACAUAUCACGUGUCAGAUGUGCGUGCACAUUACAUAUAUCACAGACAUAUAUACACUGUGCACAUCACACGUGACAUUUGUACUUAUAUGCACACAUGCAUGCACACCUCACUCUACACACAUGCCUGCCAUGCACACAUGUAUAUAGAAACACCAAAAUGAGUGAAGAGAUUUUUAAAGGAGGCUUGUGCAGUCAGGGUAUGAUAGGCUUGGGCAUGACUACCCUCUGUGUUACAGUCAACUGCGGUCUGUUCUUUUAGCUACUUUCACAACAGGGCCAGUGCCUGUGUAGAAGGAACACCAAGGCCACAUCUCAGGGAAGUGAACUGAGGACUCAGAAGAGGUACAGGCCCUGGAGUAUGGAAAGGCAGAGCAUGGUAUGCAGAUGUAAAUGCUGUAAGGCACUCUGGCUUGUCCACUCCAAUAGGCACGAUAGUAAGCAUGAGGCCAGUAGAUGUCGUAUCCGUGGGAAGAACCCUCUGGAUGCCAUGUUAGCAACUUAGGGUGUUUCUUGUUUUCAGCCCAUGCUGUGGCCAAGGAAUCAGGAGGUGUGGGGUAGAGAGGACACUUGAGCAACUACCCUCUAUGUUGUGAACCUAGUGGAUGUUUUUCUGCCCUUCUAGACCUGUGAGUGGCCUGUGCCAGCACAGCAGAAUGGGGACAUUCCCAGUUCCACAGGAUACUGCAGGCUUGGGGACUGGGUACUUAGGCUUUUGGCUGUGCACCACACCACCUUCCUGACCAAUGGUACAUUAAGUCAACCAGUGCUUGCAGAAUGCUUGAGACAACACAAAUGUCUCCUUUCUAACUGGAAACAACAUAUAAAGGUCUAAUACAAGUCAGUAAUGUGUCUCUGAUUGUCCUGUGGCACUGGGUGAAUUAAGGACAGGAUGGAGAGCAUGCCAAAGAGUCUAACUCGUUCUGUCCCAUCUUCCUUCUGAAUGCAGGUCUCCAGGAUCCAGUGCUCACACGGACUCAGGGCUGCUGCUCAGGGAACCAGCAAACCCUGUUGCUCUGACCAUGCCACCGUGAAGGGCGGUCUCUUUCUGUUCCAGUCUCUGCGGUGCCACUCUGUAUUAGAAAGGACAUCUUUCAAAGGAGGGGUUGGUGAAGGGCAAUUUACCUUCUCUUUCAGAGAUACAACUGUCUGAGGAGAGGCUAGGAGGUGUUGCAGAACCAAAAUAUAGAGCUAGAGGGAUCAGAAAAUCGAGGUUGGGAGGAAGGUUAGCUCAAGGCUGCAUGUCCCUGAACACCUUGGUGGGGGUGAAGGGUGACUUAAUAGUCACUAGUAGCCCAGUGCCUGUCAGUACUCUACAUGACCUUGUAGCCCUUGCUUCUUCUGGUGCUCAACAGCACCACUCAGAUGCAAACAGCAAGGCCUAGAUAGUGUUCACAUCUCCCAUGGCUUGACACUGUGCUGGGUUUGAUACUACAAACCAGGAGGCUGGGACUUGAACUUGAGAUCACUGACUCAGGCUAGGGAGGACUCCAGGGCACCUGAGCUCAGCUGCAAAGGCAGAAACUGAACCACAGUGAGCAGAAGGGGCACAUUUUGCUGUUUCUUUCCUUUUCUGCUCUCAGGCCUUUCAAUGAACUCUACAGAUGAGGAUCUUUCCUCCCAGGCUUAGUGUCUGCAGCCAUGAGGGUCCUCUACAGGGGACUCAAAACCCCAGAAGAGUCUUCAGAAGGAAAGUGCUACACACUGCACUGCCCCCAGCACUCUGAAAAACAGAGACCCUUUUGGGGUUUGGGCCAGUCAGUGCUCAAUAGUUAGCUUCUGGCUGCACUGGGUGCUCACAAAUAACACAGCAGCCUGAGUCCUGUGACCUGGCUGUCACAGACUGUGAUUGAGAGUUUAUUUUAACUGUGUCAGCAUAACCACUCUGUUCCUUCUGGUUCCAGGUUGCACAGAGCUCCUUGUCCUCAUACACGCCUGUUCCAUCAUUGGACCUUAAUAUUUAAAGUGAGCCCUACACUCAGGAUGGACUUGGUUUUCUACAAAAACCUGCCAACCUGUGUGUGUAAAGAGGGGGACGGGAGGGAUGGAAGGAUGGAGAGAGAGAGAGAGAGAGAGAGAGAGAUGGAUGGAGAGAAAGACAGAACAAGAGAGAGAGAGCAAGAGUGAGAGCAAGAGCAAGCGAGAGAGAGAGACAGAGAGAGAGAGACAGAGAGAGAUAAUAUGCACUAGCCACCAAAGAAGCAUUCCUGUAUUCUUCAUUAGCCUUACAGCUUUUUCUCUCUUCCCUGAUUAUUACCUUUUGUGCUGUGUUGGGUAUUUUGUAAAGAAAUGCUUGACUUUCUCUUCCUUUCUGUUAAUCUGGCGCUUGGUUCUUUUUUUCUUUGUUACCAUGGAGAUCAUACCGAAAAUGCUAAAAUACUACCAAUCCUAUGUGAACUGUAUUACUGCUAUUUUGACAGCCCUGACCAACUUCUUCAGUUACUGAUGUCAAUGAAGGAGAUGUCUGUGUACAUGAGCCUCGGUGGCACUGCUGUUUGUGGUCAUGUAACAUGGCAUCUCUCACAUCUUGGAGGAAGCAGAAGUUCACCUUGCCUUUGGGGAUUGUCCGGGGAUCACCUGUUCUUUAUUUCUUCUUGAGAUUCUGAAAUCCUUUAAAUCGGUCUUCAUCUGUGGGAGUUUCUUAGUUUUCUUCCUCAAUUUUGAAGGAAAGUUUUACUAGAAAAUCAUAGUUCCUAAAGAGUGUUUGUGUUGUUGUUUUUGUAUAGUGUUGCGUAUACUCACCCAUUCUGUGUGUCCGUGUGAGUGUAAGUUUGUGUGUUUGUAAUAAAGGGUGGGAAUGUGUGUGGUGUGGUAUGUGUGUGUUUGUGUGUGUGUGUGUGUGUGUGUGUGUGUGUGAGAGAGAGAGAGAGAGAGAGAGAGAGAGAGAGAGAGAGAGAGAGAGAGAGAGAGAAGAGAAGAGAAGAGAAGAGAAGAGAAAAGAAUGAAGCAAUCUUGUAUGUACACUGUUAUGGAUGUGUCCCACCAUGUGUGUGGAGGUUAGAGGACAUUUUUGUCAGACCUUAUCUUACCUUGUUUGGAACUAGGUGUGUGGUUUGAUGUUGCACAUGGCAGGCUGCCUGAACGACAAGCUCCCAGGCAAAUUUCUGUUUCUCCUUCUUUUCCUGCUUCCUAAAAGCUCUGAUAUUACAGGUGUGUGCUCAACUUUCGCAUGGGUUCAAAAUCAGGUCUUCACACUUUGCAGGGCAGAUGAGAAUCAAAAGCCUUGGAAGCUGUGAGGAAGGCAUCUUCCUGUCACCCUACAGGUAGUAAUAAGUUUCUUUAUUAUGUCUCAUGAGCAGUGUUGGGGUGCAGGAAUCACUCCACAAACCAGACAGCCAUUUCAGUCAAGCAGGGACAGUUUAUGGAACAUAUAUCCUGGGACUGAUUGGUCAGGGACACAUGUCACACAGGGGAGUAGAGACUGCAACCCUAUUUCCAAGGACUGUAGUAUGAAAGGCAAAACCACAGAAGCUCUCAGCAACUAAGAGCUCAUACACAGGUGCCGAAAGUCUUCCCAGGCAGUUGGGUGGUUGGUUCGGGUCCAAGGUUAUUGUUGCUAGCAUACAAAGCAAUUCUAACUGACCUUAACUAUGAUUGGCCCUAAAGGAGGGCACAGGUUAGGGUAAUUUCCAGGAACAACAGACCACACAACUUAGUGCGAUAUGCAGUUAAUGAUUAGCUGGGCAUGAGAAAGGUCCUCUGUAAUAAUGUAAGAUGGCUGGCGACAGGUAUUAAACAAAGUGGAUAGAGUAAUGUCAGAAAGGCAGCAGCCACCUCCGUCUUAAAGAGAAGAUUAUACACACACACACACACACACACACACACACACACACACGUGUGUGUGUGUGUGUAUAAUUAAUAUAUAUAUAUAUAUAUGUAUCUGUAGUAUAUUCUUAAACCCAUAGUUGAAAUGCAAAAGGGACCCAUGGAAGGUAGACAUAAGGAUUUUAAAGCAGGAGGCACAGCAAGCCUUCAAACAGAGAACUAAGGACAGCAAACCAUCCUGCAGGCUUUGAUUUCUAAAAGCCUAAAGGCUCCCCAUAGCCAACCUAAGCCAGAGCCUUGGAGUCCUUCCCAACCAUGCAAGGACAGGUCCUAUUGUGACCUCAUGAGGAGCGACUGUGAGGCGGUCCAGCCAACAGAUGUUAAGCUGUAGCCAGGCCUGGAUUUCCUUGAGUGCGUUUAGAGGAGUGGUGGAGUGGAGACUUUGGUGAUUUUGGUGGAUCUAGUGAGCAGUGUGUGGAUUUUGCAUUUGAUUGAUUUGUGUUUUGCUUGUGUAUGUGUGUCUAGGUCAGUGUUUGUGUGGACGGUUGCUUUUGUGUGUGUGUGUGUGUGUGUGUGUGUGUGUGUGUGUUGGUAUUCUUGGUGGUGACUGUGAGUGCAUCUGUGAGUGUGGGUGUGUGGGUGUGCCCAACUGUGUGUGAGUGUCUGUUGUGCCCUGUUGGUGCACUAGUUGUAGGUGUGAGAACACCUGUGUGAGGAAAAGUUUUGAGGCCGGCAGUCAGCUUGGCCAUUGUUUCUAAGUGCACAGCAGAGGCAAGAAGACCAUCAACACUGAAAGCACAGAAGACAAAUCCAGUGACUCAGCAGAGGUUAAGCCUGUCGCAAGCAGGCCCUGGCCCAAAAGAUUUAGGGGGUGGCUCAAGAACAUCCGAAAUGGCCUGAUGAACCUGUGUUGCUGCAUUCCGUCCAGAAAAAAACCUCCCCUGGGGCACAACAGAGUUGUUCCCCAGAAAUGAAGAACAUGGAAGGAAUCCAGAGAGCAAGCAUCCAACACUGCCCAGAAGAUCACUAGAGGAUGCCGGAUGCUGCAUCUCUGCAGUCCCAGUAUUGAAGUGGACCCACGUGUGGACACGGUCCUGCAGAAGGGAGCGCUGUGAGAGCUGUCACCUUCCAGGUCAGCUGUGGAAGGAUGAAAGCAAAUGAAGAGAUGCCAGGUGGCAAGAGAGCACCUCAAAGGCAUCACUCUUCCUGGUGGAGGUUGAAAACCAGUCCAAAGCUGGUAAAGACCAGAGCCCUUUUGCCGACCAGGGUCACAUCACACACCUCCUCUUGGCACAAGUUCUCGCCUCACUCUUAGUGGAGAAUAUAUGUCUUCUCAAUGUGUUUAUCCGACUCUGAGAAUAAAAUAGCUGUUUGUGAAA